CAAGAAGUACUACUCAGAUAUUGCUGGACCUGAGUAUGCUGCCAAGUACAAGACCCUGAUCUACCUUGCUGGGUCUGCUUCGGCAGAAGCGAUCGCUGAUGUUGCUCUCUGCCCCAUGGAGGCAGUGAAGGUGAGAGUCCAGACACAGCAAGGGUUCGCUAGGGGUUUGAGUGAUGGAUUUCCGAAGUUUGUCAAAUCUGAAGGUUAUCUGGGGUAUGACCUUUUCUUACUCCUGCUUGUCAAUUUUUUUGUUGAUUGGUCUUUUUUUUUUUUUAAUUGUUAACUUUUCUUAUCUCGAUGUGCUGAAAUGCAGAUUGUAUAAAGGAUUGGUUCCACUUUGGGGGCGUCAGAUUCCAUGUAAGAAGAUCUUCCUUUUUUUCCAUUUACAGAUGCUGCUUUACUAUAUCUUCUUUUUUUUUUUUUUCCUUUUUUCUUUUUGUUCUGCUUGAUUCCAUUAUAUGUGCAAGCCAUGUUUUUUAUGCAGUUUGUGAAGUGCUGAUGUCUGGCAUUACUUGCAUAAUUGUAAAAGCUUAGAUGUAUGUGUAGUUCUUAGUUUUUUCGACUAUUGAAAUGCUGACUAGUUAAGCUGGUCAACUUGACAAGAGUAAUUUAGAUGCUUUAAAACUGAUUUAACUGAUUAGUUUAAAAGGAUUGUUAAGGCAUUACAUGUAAUUUACCAUAGGAGUAUAUCUUAUAUGCUCAAGCGCACAUUUUCCAUGAUUGUGUUGUUUUCCAUGAAUGUGUUAUUUCAAAUGAGAAUGUUUUUUGUUGUUCUGUGUUUUUUUACGAAUAUGGUUCUACAUAUCUUAAGAUCAACUAUAUUCAAGACAAAAUACAUUUUAAAAACACACACAUGGUAUGGAUUUUUUUUCUUUAAUAUUCUAGUUUCAUAGGUUUUCUAAUUGUUGCUUUGAUAUUCACUGGAAUAUAUCCCCAUAUCAAAUGCUGCUUUAGAAUUUUAAGCACUGGAAUACAAUUCCUUCGGUAACUGAGCUGAUUUUCAUUUGCCUUUUUCUUUAUCCCGUGUCGCUGCAAGGAUUGUUAGCUUCCACACUAAAUGCAUGACCGAAGCAAGUUUUAGCUUUUCCUAUAUCAGUUGCUUUUAAAGAAAUUUCUUUAUUAAUGUAAAUCACUUUCAUAUGAGGUAUGCAUGGAUGUCUGAUGAAGACUUUAGCUUAUCAGUUGUACAUAAGGGUAGAGAAGGAAAGAUGUUGUAACUAGCAUCAUUCAGGAUGUGCAUCCACAGCGGUUGAAAGGAUUCUAUUACUCUCUUCUUUCUCCUUUGUGUCGUAUAGACAGUUUAACUCGCUCUUUUCUUUUGUGCAAGCGCAAACUAUGAAAAAAAAAACUGAUACCGAGGUAAAUCACAUUCUCACUGAGAGCAAUGAGAAAAUUUGGCUCAUAAGUCAGCUGACAAUUGGAUUCGAGCCUUUCUUUCUUGUGAACCUUGAUUUGCAUGCAUGUCCUUUCAAGUGUGCACUUGUUUGUGAGGGCAAAUUUGCUAAGCACUUUAGGAUAGCCCUUUUUCGCAAGCAAGGGAACAUUCAAGAGUUAUGUUGCUAUGGGCACACGCACAUGCAUGUAUGUAUGUAUUUAUGUAGAUGACAAGUUUCCUUUGAACUUCAUGGUCAAAGGCCUUUUGCAUAGUUUAUACACAUACCUAUGACUUUUUCCCUUUUUGGAUUCCUUUUGUCCCCUCUACUUGUUGCAAUCUACCUCUAUAUUGAUGCACAUAGUUCUUCUUGAAAUCUGUACAUGACUGUCAAGAUUUUAUGUGUGCAUAUAUCAAAUUAUCCUCUCCUCUUGAGUCUUCUCCUGUUUGAUUUUAAAUGGAGUUGCACUCCAACGAAGUGGUGUACCCAUUCAACUUUGAUGCAUUCUCAGCCCACUCUCCAUGCAAGUACUGGUGUUAUUAAUCUUAUUUCAGUUGCCCCUUAUUUUGCAGAAAAACAAAAUGGUUCUUAUUAUGGCUGACAAUUUUUUACUUUUUUGGUUGAUGGACAUCUGAUUUGCUUGCCAAACUUGUGAUGGUUGUUUCGUUCGAUAAGCUUGAGGGUUUGCAUGAUGUCUCAAAGUAUUGUGACUUUUAAGGUCUUUACUGAUUUUAGCCUUCAUAUGUUUGCACAUAUCCUUCACCAUCUUAAAUGUCUUGCAAAGCUCAGCAGGAAUGCUAAUGCAUUGUGAACUAGCUACAAAUUUUGCCUUCGUUUUUCACCGUUUUGUUGCAACCUAUGUUUCAUUUCUUGUGCAUGUAGUUCUUGUUGGAAUCUGUUUGUGGUUGCAAGAUUUGAAAUGUGCAUAUUAGCAAAUAAUCCUCUUUGCUUGGGACUUCUUCGCUUGAUUUUGCAUGGAGUUGAACUCCAAUGAAGUGGCUAAAAUACUAUUAACCACUCAGGUGUGCCAAUCUUUUGACCACUAUUUUUUUUUUCAUCUCUUUUAUCUAUUUUUAUUUUUUUUUUUGACCGUGCAUAUGCCCUGCAUUACCUGAGAUGCUUCUAUUUUUUUUUUUUUCAUGAUGGGCACUCUUCCCAUCUGUUUAUUGUCAACUAAAACAGGGCGUAUCUAAUAUAUUUAUGUUAGUAAGAUGUUCCUCGCCUGUCUCAGUUUGUAUCAAGAUGCACUAUCCCUACUUUUGGAAUUAAAAUGUGUAUUUAUUGUUUAUAUGCCAAUAUAAAAGAAUAAAAGGAAGGCCAUUGCUUUGUUUCCUUUCGUUUAUUCAAAUGCUAAUGAUGCUUGUCAUUCACAGCGAGGGUAUAUGGGCAACUGAUUUGAGACAUUUGUAAUUGAAUUGCAUAUGCAGAUACUAUGAUGAAAUUUGCUUCUUUUGAAACUAUUGUUGAGCUUCUCUACAAAUAUUCAAUUCCCACUCCAAAGGACGAGUGUAGCAAGACACUACAGCUAGGAGUGAGCUUUGCUGGAGGGUACAUCGCUGGGGUCUUCUGUGCUCUUGUCUCACACCCGGCGGACAAUCUUGUCUCGUUUCUUAACAAUGCUAAGGGUGCCACCGUUGGUGAUGUAAGUCUUGCACAGUUAGUUCUUAUUUAUCAUGCAUAAUGUUGAUCCACUAUAUUUUUUUUUUUUGUAUUUUGUUUUUUUUAUUAUUGUUCUCUUGAUUGAUUAGGCUGUGAAGAAGCUUGGGAUGUGGGGUCUUUUCACCCGUGGGCUUCCUCUUCGUAUUGUUAUGAUUGGUACGCUGACUGGAGCACAAUGGGGAAUUUAUGAUGCAUUCAAAGUCAUGUUUGGCCUGUAAGCACCUCUUGCAAACUUAUAGCGUCCUCAUUGUAAGAUAUGCAGCAGUACUAUAUUAUUAAAGAUCAAUUCCUAAUAAUUUGAAUCUUUUGCAGGCCAACCACAGGUGGAGUCGCUCCUGCUGCAGCCCCCGCCCCAGGGAUUGCACAGCUGAAAGCUUGUGCAUGAUUUUCUAAUGGAUACAAAUAAUAACAGAUUUGUGACAUUAAUUUGUCCAUUUUGAACGGCAGUGUAUUAUUUGUCUUGAAGCAACUACAUCGCUUGUUUUGAUAUUUUUGGGGGGUUUUGAUCGCAUCCCUUUGCCCUGCGAGCUCUGUUGUUAGACUCGUAUUUUGUUAGAAUCAUACGAGUCGGGAGUUGACUCGUAUGAUUCGCGAUGAUUCACAAGACCGAGUCGAACCGGAAUGGUGAAUCAAAAAAUAAGAAGAAUCGCAUCUGAAUCGCGAGUCCGUCGGUUGAAUCGUGCAACUUGAGGGAUCAUCCGAUACCGUCGAGUCGGAAAAGAUAAAUUUCGAUGAUGGUUAUUCACCAUUUUUAGAAGUCGAAGAAUCAGAAAUCAAAAUAGAAAUCAAAUCAGACAGAGAAGCAAAUCAAAGAGAUUUUUCACCUUAUUCGACUGUUUCUCCAUCUUCUCUGAUUGCUUCAAGCCUUCGAAGACUAUGGCGAGAAGAGGAAGAGGUCGCAUAGGGAAGAUGAAGCUUCGAAGUCUUUGAAGCAUCGCCACAAGUUCGCCAUAGGUCCGAUAGGUUCUUCUUUCCCAUUAUUUUUUUUAUUUCUCUUCCUCGAUCUUUCUGUUUCUCUUUCCAAAAGUUUUUUUUUUUAUCAAACCAAAGCCUUCUUCUUCCCCGAUCUCUCUAUUUCUCCUUCGAAACCCCAAAUUUUUUUUUUAAUGUUGGACCGAAGCCUACUUCCCAAUCCCUCUGUUUCUUUCCUGUUUUUCUUCCCCAAAGCCGUCCGAAACCCUCCGUUUCUCUUCCUCGAUGUCGCCUGCGAACCUUUUUUUUCUUCCCUCCGUUUCUCUUCCUCGAUGUCGCCUGCGAACCUUUUUUUUUCUUCCAAUCCUUUUUUUUUUCUCCCGAAGCUCUUUCUGGGUUGCGGUCCCUCUUUUUUUUAAGUUGGCCCUUCUUUAGAAGCUUCGAAAUCGAGAGGGGAACUAAAGAGAUCCAGUGACUCAGUCCCAUUUCGAUUUCGUUGCCACCAACAGGCAACAGCCACUUAAAAAGAUGUUCUCAGCUUCUUGAGAUAAUUACUUUCUCACUUAAAUUCUCAUCCAAAAAAAUAAAUAAAUAAACACAGUAAUAAUAGUAAGAUUAAGUUUUUUUUAACAAUUUUUUAAUAAUUUUUAUUUUUUAAACAGAGAUUAUCUUACAUAUUUUACAGUGGAAUUGUGUAUUAUUAUUUUAAUGAAUAAUGGCACCUAGAAAAAAAAUCUAAAGUUGUGGAUCCCACUUGAAAUCAUUGUAAAAAAUUUGAUGAUGACAAAGAGGGCGAUGGAAAUCGAUUACAUCUUAUAUGCAAUUAUUGUAAUAAGAGUUUUUGAAGAGAAGUGAAUAGAAUGAAAAAUCAUCUUGUAGAUACACAUAACAAUGUUUCUCUUUGUACUCAAGUUCUUGAAGAAAUUCAGAAUUUUUUUAAAAAUUUGUUGGAGGAGAAAGAAAUAGAGAAAAAUUUGGAUGAUGAUGUUGAGUGCUUUAAAGUAGAUGAACCAAAUGCAAAAAUAAAGAAAGAAACUAUAGAUUCAUUUAUGAUGAAAGGAAGAAGAAAUGUAUGUAAACAACGGACAAUAAAUGAAAUGAUAAAAAAAAAGAAUCAGUAGUUAGAGAUAUUUGUAGAUUUCUACAUGGACAUGUAUUCACAUUCAAUUUGGUCAAAAGUCCUUUAUUUGCUCAAAUGAUGAAAUCUAUUGGGGAGUAUGGGAAAAGAUUGAAACUCCCUUCUUAUCAUAAAGCUAGAGUUACUUUCUUGAAGAAAGAAGUAGAAAAUGUUAAUAAAUGUUUGAUAAAAUAUAAAGAUGAGUGAAAAAAAUGGAAUGUUUAAUCAUGUCCGAUGGUUGGACUGAUGGAAAAAGUUGGUCUAUUACUAAUUUUUUUAUGAAUAGUCCCAGUAGGACAAUGUUCCUCAAAUUAUUGGAUACCUCUGAUGUUAGUAAGGAUUCAAAUAAGUUGUUUGAAUUGCUUGACAACUUAGUAGAGGAGACUGGAGAGAAAAAUAUAGUUCAAGUGGUGACAGAUAGUGCCUCUGCUUAUGUUGGCGUGGAUAGACUCUUAAAAGAAAAGAGAAAGCAUCUUUUUUAAUUUCUACGUGCAGUCCAUUAUUUAGAUUUAAUACUUAGUAACAUUGAAAAUAUUUCAAUUUUUUUUAAUACACUUGGCAAAGCAAGGCAAAUUACAAUUUAUAUUUAUCAUCAUACUUGGGUUCUUAGUUUGUUUAGAAAAUAUUCUAAGAACAAGGAAUUGAUAAGACCGACGGUUACUAGAUUUGCAACAUUCUAUCUCACUUUGAGAAGCAUACUAGAUAGGAAGAUUGCUUUAAAGGCUAUGUUUACUUCAGAGGAAUGGGCAAGGAGCACUUAUGCAAGCAAAUUUAAGGCUUGAAAAAUUCAAAAAAUUAUAUUGAGCGAUAACAGAUUUUGGAAAGCUACAAAAUAUUAUUUGAAGUGUAUCCUUCCUUUGGUAAAAGUAUUGAGACUUGUUGAUAGAAAUGCAAAAUCGGCUAUGGAUUAUAUUUAUGAAGCAAUAGAUAGAGCAAAGGAACAAAUUGAUAAAAAUUUUAAUAAUGUUAAGAAGAGGUAUGAUCGGAUUUGGGAGACAAUUGACAUUCAUUGGGAUUUGCAACUCUACAGACCACUUCAUACGGCAGCAUAUUAUCUUAAUCCCAAAUAAGUCAUAUUUUUUUAAUUUAUAUUAUUUUAUUAAUAAAUUUUAUUAUUUUAAAUUUAAAUUUAUUUUUUGAUUCUUGACCUUUAGGUUUCAAUAUGAUCCCAAUUUUAACACCGAUGAAGUAAAAAUUAGAUUGUUGAAGAUAAUUGCAAAGAUGUAUCCAGAUGUUGAGACAAGAGUCAUUAUUGAUUCACAACUUGAAAAAUUUAAAAAGAUCGAAGGAUUAUUUGGGAUGGAUAUGACGGUAUCAACAAGAAAUAAAAAAACAAUCAGAUAAUUAUAAUUUUAAUUUUAUAAAUUUAUUUUUAUUUGUCUAAUUUAAAUUUAAUUUAUCUUAUUUUAUUUGUCUCGCUCUAUGAUGGAAGAGUUUUGGAGAACAGUGCAAAAAACUUCAAAGGCUAGCAAUUCGAGUACUAAGUCUUACUUGUAGUACUAUUGGAUGUGAAAGAAAUUAGAGCAUAUUUGAACAUAUUCAUUCCAAAAAAAAGAACCGUUUGGAGCAACAAAGAUUGAAUGCCUUGGUGUUUGUCAAGUACAAUAUUCAACUUGAGAUGAGAUAACAAAAAAGACAUGAAAAGGAGAAGACAUAUGAUCCGAUAUACUUAUCAGAUAUGGAAUCAGAUGAUGAGUGGAUAACUGAGCAAGAAGAGCCAUGCUUACCGGAUGAUGUGUCUUAGUUGGAUGUAAAUGAAUGUUUUGAUGAGGGACCUAAUAACAGAACAAGGAAGAGAGGUAUGCAAAUUAUUUUCUAAUUUUUUUUAAAUUUUUAAUUUUUUAAAUAAUUACAUUAUUUUCUUAUUUGACUUUGUUGGUUCUUAAAAUAUUUUUGUAGGACCAAGAAACUUAAAUGUUGAUAGUAAAGGUAAAGGGAAAGAAAAGGUUGUUGAGAAAAAUAUUGAAGUGAUAGAAAAAGAUGAAGGUAAUGAGGAAGAACAGGAAGAAGAAGAGAAUCAAGAGAUGAUUAUGCUUGAAGAUGAUGAUGACGACGGCGGCGGUGGCGGCGGUGGUAAUGAUGACAUUAGCUUUGGGGAUGAUUAUGAUGACUGAAGAUUUUAUUUAAUUUUUUGAAUGAACAGUGAAUUAGUAAUACUUUAUAUUUACUUUUAAUUUAUGUUUUGAAUUUAGUAUUUUAAACUUAUCUAUACUUUUUGGACAUCUUUUUGAGUAUUCAUUGACUAAUAGAUUGGUAUACAUUUUGAUUGUACUUUUUGUUAUUGAAUCUUACUAUUCGAGUCACGAUUUGAGUCGCGAUUUGAGUUAAAGCAUGAGCAAUUCACGAGUCGAAUCUCGAUUUGACAACAUUGCCUGUGAGGCUCAUCGGACAAGUGGAGAUAGAAUUUGGCAUCAUAGCAGUUGUAGGGCUAUUGAGAAAUAGAUCUCUUUGUACUUUGACCAAGCUUUUAUCCUCCAAAUUUCAGGAAGGAUUUCAUGAUAAUUUCAUUCAUUAUAAUUGUUGUUACUUCUUUAUCUAAAUUUUAUAUAUUGAAUUUGACUCUUAAUAUGGUCUAAUUAUUUCUUAAUCAGAUGUAACUUAUUAGGUUAGUCACAUGUAUUAAAUCAAUUACAGUAAGUCCAAUUAAUUAAAGAGUUCUAUUCCUAAUCACAUAUAGACUGGAAGUUCAACUUUAAUUAGAGUUAGUCCUUUUGAUGGGACAAGCAAGUGUGGGUAUAAAUAUAGAGAUGUCUUAAUUUUUUUUGUCCAACUCUCAAAAAGGUACGAAUGAUUUUCAUCGAUCGUUCACGUUAAGGAGAGUGAGAAAAAUUAGAAAAUUAGAUACCUCACAGAAGAAGACCAGACAUCCUGUGGGCUACGGGAUCAUCGUAUUGGAUACAUGAUAAUGCAAGGCAUGAUUUAUUUAUGAUUUAAUUUUUACAUAAAUAUAAAAGCACGAUCCAAACAUAAAAAAUUAAAAUUAUCUAAUAUGUGGUAUCAGAACCCCAAUUUUAUACUUCAUGUUCAUAUAAAAACUUUUCGAUAAAUUUUUUGCUUAUUUUCAAAAUACUAAAAUCAAGGUUUUGAAUUUUUUGAAUUAAAUAAAGGCUUAGAAAAUUAAAUUAUGUUUUUCUUAAUUUUUUAGAAAAUAAAAAAAGUUUGUGUGGCCGACCUGCUGUUAGAAAACUCUAUGGUUUCGUACGUAUAGUUUAAAAAUUUUUUUAAAUAUUAUACAGUAGAAGUAAAUAAAUUAAAAUAUUUUUAAUUUAAAAAUAUGUACAAGAUCUAAUCUGAAAAUCAUGCGUAGGAUCUUAACACAAACAUGCUAUCUUGAUCUGAAAUCUGAAAAAAAAUCAAACAUUAGCAAAACAAAAUCAGAGAUCAGAUCUCCAUACCUUCGGAUCUUACGGAUGUCCGAAGUUUCGAUCGUAGCCGCGCACGCACCCGCCUCUACUGAUAUCCAUAUAAAGAUGCCUGAUUGAAACAUUGAGAUCACCGGUGUGCUAGCAUCUUGUAGAUCUUGCUCCUCAGCGUUGGAUCUACAUUUCUUAUUUUGGAUCUCGAAGAAGAAGAUCGCUGCGUGAACUCUUUCGCGCAGAUCCGAUGGGAUCUGAACCAGAUCACCAAGAAGGAAAGAAAAACUUUUCUUCUUCUCUUCUUCUCUCUCUUUUUCUCUCUUAGAUCUAAUCACCAUCAGAUCUUGGCGUUGGGCAUUGAAGGAAGAAGGAGGAAAAGUUGGGGCAUUGAGAGGUUGUGAUGUCCUAAAGAAGCCGUCUGCUUCCUCUCAUGCAAAACCUCACGCCCCAAAAAUUUUUGUCGCAUAAAACUAACUACCUCACCUCCCAACCACAUCCUCACGCCCUAAAAGAUCUUAUCUCUUUUGAUCUUAGCCAUUCAAACCAAAAUCAAGGAUUAGAUGGGCGUGGAGAUGAUGUUGUAUGGCAAGAAAGAAAUCCCACAAAAAAAUUAGCGCAUGCCCAUUCCUUUUCAAAUUUUUUGUCGCACAAAAAAUUCCUUAUACGCCGUAUCAGAUAUGAUUUAAUCCUAUUUUGAAUCAAAUUCAAAUAGAAAUAAAAUCUGGAAGAAAGAGAAUCCCAAAUAACAUGGGGUGCCAACUAUUGGACCCCCUCCCCUUUCACGCGCACAAAAAAAAAAGGGGGUGCAUUUUCAUGCGCUCCCUCCCCUUCUCAACAUGAAAACUAGAGAGAGUCUCAAAAAAUCUAGACUCUCUGAGUCAUGGUUCAUCUGGUUCAAAUUAGAUCUCAAUCGGAUUCAAAUCAAACCUGAAUCGAGUCGAAUUCGAAAGACUGCCAAGUCUGAUCCAAUCAAGCUUGAAAUCCAAAUCUAAUUUGAAUAAUUGAAUCCAAUUAGAAUUAAAUUAAAUUAAAUCUAAUUCAAUUAAAUUUGAUUUAAAUUAAUUAAAAUUUAAUAUAUAAUUUAAUCAGUCUCAAUAAAAUUAUAACAUUUGUAAUUAAGUUCCUGCGCUAACAAUUAACAGUUGUCAAAACUGUAACGAUCACAAAUUAGCAGUUUCUAAAAUUCAAACUAUCAAUCCAAUUGAUAAUUCAAAUAUGAUCUAAGCCAUUGAUCAGGUCAUGCUCCUUUUGUGUGUGAUCCCUCAGAUUUUAUUCUGUCUGGUAGUGAGACAUACUAUGAUCUUCAUCACAGUAUCAUCGAAACUCUUUUUGAUGGACUAGAACGAUUCCAACUCACCUCAACAAAGAUCAUUGAUCUGAAAAUGAUCCUAGUGAGUUCUCACAAUCCAUCAGUGAUGUCUAGCAGCAUAUAGUGGCAAUCCAGUAGAAUAGAAAAAAUGAAUCCUUAAGUGCAAUUAUCGUGUGAUACAAUCUCUCUAUCGUGAGUCCCGACUAGAUAGAGGUCAUGGAGAACUCGUCAAACCCCAUCGUCAGUCAUAUGCUAGAUUGGCUCAAUUCGAGUUCAUCUGUGAAUUCCAUGAAAACUCUUUUCCAGUAUUCACACUUACUUUGAUCAGAGAUUUUUUGAACUCAGUCUUGCGAAUCGCAUAGGACUUCUCUACUAAGAUCGAUAGAUUCCAUCUAGGUGCAUCCUACUUCAAACAGCAAACCUGAACUUACAAUAGCCAACAUACACAGUAAAAAUCCGAAUAGCUAAGAACCAAGAAAAUAUACAGUCAAACUAAGUAGUCUCACUGUGAAUAGCCAACAUACCGUAGGUCAAAAGACGAGUCACACCACUGCAGCAUCGAGAAAAUCACUGAUGAGUAGACAUCCAAGUGAUUUCUCGAAUUGAUCAUGCUCAGUACAAGUUGUUCUCUAACAACCACCUGCACUCUCACCUCAGUGUCUCUACACCGCAGACUCGAGACUCAUCUGUCCUAAAGAGAGAUGAUCCGAGCAUCGAUCUUGAAUAGACUGAUCACUGUCUUUCAUGACGAUCCUUCGAUCGAAAGUAUUUAGAAAUUAGCCACUAAUGAUGUAUGUCUCAAAUUCUCAAUACUUUGAGAAUAUAUAAAAUCAUCUUUAUUAAUUUUUAAGACAAAUCUUGGACACAAGAUAUGAUCGGUUAUAAAGAUUGUCCAUCAAGUACAAAACAUGCCCUAGAUAAAGAUAUGUAUCUGCCAAAAUUGACUUCUAAGGCACACAUCUAAUAAACUCUCACUUGCACUAAUGUCAAUCUGCCAUAUACCUAAGCCUUAUCUUCUAAAGACAGGCUUUGGUGUUUAGCUGGCUAAGUAACUCGGGCCCACCACAUCCUAUGUGGAGUCUACUCUCUGUAUCUCUACGUAUUUCUAUUUGAGGUAAUCACAUAUAUCUCUGUUCUAUGUGUAUGAACUUCUGAUGAGAUCUUGACUCCUUACCAAGGGCUAUGGACCAUUAUCUUUGCAGUACAAUGUCAAAGCAUCCAAUAGUAUAACAUCCAGUUCUGCAACUAUCAUAAGAACCAAAACACAUCCGACACAUCUAUAGCAUAUUCAACUUUCAUUGAUCGAUUGCCUAGAACCCUUCUAAUAUACCGAACGAAUAUAACUCAAGAAUACAUGCUGAUGUAGAUAUUCUACCAUCAGCAUCAAUGUAUCCUUCCACUCUUAGCUCUAAUCUUUCUUCAAAGACGAGAAAUAAUUUCUUAGUGCUUUUUAAGUACUCAGAGAUAUUUUUCACAACCAUCCAAUGCUUCCAAUCUGAAUUUAACUAAUAUCUGCUCAUAACUUUCACAACAAGAUAAUCAAGUCGAGUACAUAGCAUGACAUACACCUAUGCCUAAGAAGAUAACGGAUCUCUCUUGAAGAUUUCAAUACUGAACCCUUUCAACACCUCUUCUAUGUACUUGUCUGUGAAAACCAAAUAUCCUUUUAAGAUUUAUCUCUAUAAACCUUUUAUUUCCAAAAUAUUUGAUCUAGAUCUUUGAUAAGAAAAUUCUAUAUGUAACCACAUCAUAUCCGAUGUCAGUAUGGGGCUUUCCCACUGACCUUCAUGUAACUACAUGAUUCUUCUUUAUUUUUGAUGAAAUCAAACAAUUUGAUCAUGACAAUUCCAACUCUGAGAUGUUAGCUUAAAUCCAUAAAUGAAUUUUCGCAGUGUCAUCUCUAUCACUGAAAGUGAAAUCCAUAGGCCACUAUAAAUAGAUAUCUUUCAAAGAUAUCUAUUUAGUAGGGCUGUCCACACAUAUAUUUUUCAAGAUCGAUGUACAACAUUACCUCGUUGUAGGUUUCGAAAUCAUCCCUAUGUUCUCAAUCUCCCUCGAAAAAUAUUUUCUCUGAAUCCUUUGUAAGAAUACCUAGUAUCCUUUUAAAGGAUGGAAGAUCCUACUAGAUCUACGAGAUAGAGGAGGUAGUACAUAUACUGGCUCAUCUUAAAUAGAUUGUACUGGUCUCGUGACUCGUUGUUCUUUAGAGACUCUCUCUUUGAGUUCAUCCUCCCACUGUUUCCAAGAAAACAGUAUGAUUGCACACAAUCAUAUUGUAAACUACUGAGAAGAGAAAGUGACGUCCCAAACCCUUUUGGAAUAUCCCAUAAACGAUCUCUCAUAGAUCUAUCCUCUAACUUGUCUAUCAUAUCAUAUCUCAUAUGAUGUGGUGAAACCAACUUUAGAAAGAACCUAAUUUAAAUUUUAAAAAUUAAAUAUUGUUCCUAAAGAAACAAUAGUUAAAUUAGUGAUAUUCAUGAUGGAACGGACCAUAUCCCAUACAGUGACAUCGCUCCUCACAGAUACCCCAUUGAGCUAAGAUGUAUAAAGAGAAUUCCAUCAUAAAACUAUGCCAUUCUCUUUAGAUAACCGACAAAUUCUCUAUUUGGUAUUGCAUCCUCAAUCUAAUUGAAGUACCUUUAGGAUUUUUUCGAUUUACUUUUCUACUUCUCAUCUAAAUUCUUUGAACAUUUUUCAAGUCUUUCAGAUUUGUAUCUUACAUAUAUAUCUAUACCAUGACUGUUCAUCAGUAAAGGUGAUAAAGUAGUGAUAAUAUCCUAGUUUGACUCAUCAAAUGGGCUAUACACAUCAUAUGUGUACUAGGAUAAGUAUCUCAGUGGUCCUAUCCCUUUGACCAACAAAAGACAGCUUGAUCAUUAAUCCUCAAAAAGAUGAUUCACGGACUAGAUAUGACCUAACAGUCAAUGAGCCCAAAAAUUCAUUUUCUCCAGUCGGUAAAUCAUUUCUUCUCACACAUGACCUAGCCAAAAGAACCAUCUGUAUACUUCAGAUUAUUUCAUUCUAGAUCUCUCAGACCCAAUGACAUUCACUAUUUGCUCAAAUAAUUUUCACAAAUGCAUCACCAUGCAAAUGAUUAUGAACUAAAUCCAAACGGUAAUCACCAAAGUUAGAUGCCCACGGCCUCAAUAUAACUUUUGCACCAUUACCGACUUAAAAGAGUCACUUCAUCUUUCUUUAGUCCUCUUUCUUUCUUAGAUCUUAUAUUAAACUGCGUAAUAUACACUAGAAUCUAAUGAAAAAGAGAAAACUGUAAGAUCAAAUUUGAAUAUUUCGACAUACCUUCCAAAAGUGUGUCAAUAUUUUUUUAGGUUCUUCAGAUAUGUACCUCUAAACUUUUCAAGAUCCCUUAGUUACCAGCAUAUUGAUCAAUUCAGUUAAAGUACUAUAAUAUUUAUUCAUAUAAUAAUUUCAUAAACUAUUCGUAUGAAUCAGAAAUUGUAAAAUCAAAUCCAUUAGCAAUUUCUUAUGUAUGGUCAUGUCGAGCUUUUCAAGCUCUUCAAUAUCUUUGAUCAUCGAUCAUGGACAAACUGCCCAUCACACAUCUUAUGCACUAUGUGACUCUGAUCAUCUCACAACUAUUACCGAUGAAUCAGCAUGUCAUUGACAAUCUACAUAUCCUUAUGCAUACAUUAGAUUUCAUCAACUAUGAAGUCCAAUUUAUAGCAUAUGAUGCAUGUCGUAGUACACCAAAAUUAAUCCUACUCACUACUAUAUAGAUAGGAUGAGUCGGGAUCGUAUCCGCAGGGAUCUUAAUUGAUUAUUUUGAAAAUAUNNNNNNNNNNNNNNNNNNNNNNNNNNNNNNNNNNNNNNNNNNNNNNNNNNNNNNNNNNNNNNNNNNNNNNNNNNNNNNNNNNNNNNNNNNNNNNNNNNNNNNNNNNNNNNNNNNNNNNNNNNNNNNNNNNNNNNNNNNNNNNNNNNNNNNNNNNNNNNNNNNNNNNNNNNNNNNNNNNNNNNNNNNNNNNNNNNNNNNNNNNNNNNNNNNNNNNNNNNNNNNNNNNNNNNNNNNNNNNNNNNNNNNNNNNNNNNNNNNNNNNNNNNNNNNNNNNNNNNNNNNNNNNNNNNNNNNNNNNNNNNNNNNNNNNNNNNNNNNNNNNNNNNNNNNNNNNNNNNNNNNNNNNNNNNNNNNNNNNNNNNNNNNNNNNNNNNNNNNNNNNNNNNNNNNNNNNNNNNNNNNNNNNNNNNNNNNNNNNNNNNNNNNNNNNNNNNNNNNNNNNNNNNNNNNNNNNNNNNNNNNNNNNNNNNNNNNNNNNNNNNNNNNNNNNNNNNNNNNNNNNNNNNNNNNNNNNNNNNNNNNNNNNNNNNNNNNNNNNNNNNNNNNNNNNNNNNNNNNNNNNNNNNNNNNNNNNNNNNNNNNNNNNNNNNNNNNNNNNNNNNNNNNNNNNNNNNNNNNNNNNNNNNNNNNNNNNNNNNNNNNNNNNNNNNNNNNNNNNNNNNNNNNNNNNNNNNNNNNNNNNNNNNNNNNNNNNNNNNNNNNNNNNNNNNNNNNNNNNNNNNNNNNNNNNNNNNNNNNNNNNNNNNNNNNNNNNNNNNNNNNNNNNNNNNNNNNNNNNNNNNNNNNNNNNNNNNNNNNNNNNNNNNNNNNNNNNNNNNNNNNNNNNNNNNNNNNNNNNNNNNNNNNNNNNNNNNNNNNNNNNNNNNNNNNNNNNNNNNNNNNNNNNNNNNNNNNNNNNNNNNNNNNNNNNNNNNNNNNNNNNNNNNNNNNNNNNNNNNNNNNNNNNNNNNNNNNNNNNNNNNNNNNNNNNNNNNNNNNNNNNNNNNNNNNNNNNNNNNNNNNNNNNNNNNNNNNNNNNNNNNNNNNNNNNNNNNNNNNNNNNNNNNNNNNNNNNNNNNNNNNNNNNNNNNNNNNNNNNNNNNNNNNNNNNNNNNNNNNNNNNNNNNNNNNNNNNNNNNNNNNNNNNNNNNNNNNNNNNNNNNNNNNNNNNNNNNNNNNNNNNNNNNNNNNNNNNNNNNNNNNNNNNNNNNNNNNNNNNNNNNNNNNNNNNNNNNNNNNNNNNNNNNNNNNNNNNNNNNNNNNNNNNNNNNNNNNNNNNNNNNNNNNNNNNNNNNNNNNNNNNNNNNNNNNNNNNNNNNNNNNNNNNNNNNNNNNNNNNNNNNNNNNNNNNNNNNNNNNNNNNNNNNNNNNNNNNNNNNNNNNNNNNNNNNNNNNNNNNNNNNNNNNNNNNNNNNNNNNNNNNNNNNNNNNNNNNNNNNNNNNNNNNNNNNNNNNNNNNNNNNNNNNNNNNNNNNNNNNNNNNNNNNNNNNNNNNNNNNNNNNNNNNNNNNNNNNNNNNNNNNNNNNNNNNNNNNNNNNNNNNNNNNNNNNNNNNNNNNNNNNNNNNNNNNNNNNNNNNNNNNNNNNNNNNNNNNNNNNNNNNNNNNNNNNNNNNNNNNNNNNNNNNNNNNNNNNNNNNNNNNNNNNNNNNNNNNNNNNNNNNNNNNNNNNNNNNNNNNNNNNNNNNNNNNNNNNNNNNNNNNNNNNNNNNNNNNNNNNNNNNNNNNNNNNNNNNNNNNNNNNNNNNNNNNNNNNNNNNNNNNNNNNNNNNNNNNNNNNNNNNNNNNNNNNNNNNNNNNNNNNNNNNNNNNNNNNNNNNNNNNNNNNNNNNNNNNNNNNNNNNNNNNNNNNNNNNNNNNNNNNNNNNNNNNNNNNNNNNNNNNNNNNNNNNNNNNNNNNNNNNNNNNNNNNNNNNNNNNNNNNNNNNNNNNNNNNNNNNNNNNCAUAUUUUUCAUGUCGAAAUUAAAUUGCUUUAUGGCCCAAAAUGCACGGUGUUCUAGCUCUACCGGUAGAUGGCAGACUUUUCCAAAAAUGAGUCGGUAAGGAGACAUUCCUAUCGGGGUCCUGAAUGCAAUAUGAUAGGCCCAUAAUGCAUCGUCUAAUCAUCCAGAUCAAUCUUUUCGAUCAGACCUAACCAUCUUCUCAAGAAUUCGUUUGAUCUCUCUGUUGGAGACUUCCACUUGGCCACUAGUUUGGAGGUGAUAUGGUGUGGCAACUUUAUGAGUGAUUCCAUAUUUCUUCAUUAAACUUUCAAAGUGCCUAUUCGUGAAGUAUGUACCUCCAUCACUAAUAAUAGCUCUUGGACAACCAAAUCGACUUAAGAUAUUCUGUUGGAUGAAUUUGAUUACCACCUUAUGAUCAUUCGUUCUGGUUGCCAUAGCCUCAACCCAUUUAGAUACGUAAUCUACCGCAACCAAAAUAUAUUCAUAUACAUAGGAUAGAGGAAAGAGGCCAAUAAAAUCAAUUUUUCNNNNNNNNNNNNNNNNNNNNAAUGUCGGUCAGUAAAAUCUAUUUUGUAACACUUUUGCGGUCAUUUUCUUUCCACUGAAAUAUCCCCCGCAUGCAUGAGAGUGACAAAAGAUAAGUACACUUUGAUACUCACCCUCAGGGACACAGCGUCGAAUCACUUGGUCAGUGCAAUGUUUGAACAAUUCGAGUUCCUCCUAAUAAUAAUGUUUGACCUGUGAGAAGAAUCGAUCCUUCUCCUGUUUUGUCCAAUAGAGAGAAACUUGUCCUGUUGCCAAGUAGUUAAUGAUGUGGGCAAACCAUGGGAUUUGAUCAGAGGAUGUUGCAAAAAGUUGUUCGUCAGAAAAUUUCUCUUUAACUUCAUCUGUACCCAUCGUAUGAUCAACUAAGAUUCUAGAAAUGUGAUCAGCGAUCACAUUUUCGGAAUCCUUCUUAUCUCGAAUUUUUAGAUCAAAAUUUUGAAGCAGAAGGAUCCAUCUGAUCAAUCGUGGUUUAGUAUCUUUCUUUGAGAACAGAUGUUUCAAAGCCGCAUGAUCAGAAUACACUAGAACCUUAGACCCUAACAGAUAUGAACAAAAUUUAUCAAGGACAAAUACCACCGCUAGUAGCUCUUUUUCUGUCGUAGUGUAGUUCAAUUGAGCAUCGGAUAGAAUUUUGCUAGCAUAAUAGAUCACAUGUGGCUCCUUAUUGAUUUUUUGAUCUAAGAUAGUCCCUAUUGCAAAAUCGGAAGCGUCACACAUGAUUUCAAAUGGGAAGGACCAAUCAGAAGAUUUUAUUAUGGGUGCUAUUGUCAGGACUGUUCGUAACGUGUAAAAAAUAUGUAGACAUUCUUCAUUAAAAAAAAAUAAUGUAUCCUUGGCCAAUAAAUUGCGCAAGGGUCUUGAUAUUUUGCUAAAUUUUUUAAUGAAGCGUCUGUAAAAUCCUGCAUGACCUAAGAAAGAUCGUAUUUGUCGAACUGAAGUGGGGGGGUGGUCGUUUUGAGAUGACCUCAAUUUUCGCUUUAUCUACCUCAAUCCUCCUUUCGAAAAUAAUGUCCCAAUAUAAUUCCUUCCCGAACCAUGAAAUGGCUCUUUUCUCAACUUAAAACCAAAUUUAUCUUCGUGCAGUGCUUAAGGACUUUGGAGAGGUUAUGAAGACAAUCCUCAAAAGUGGUUCCAAAUACGGAGAAAUCAUUCAUAAAUACUUCAAGAUAUUUAUCUACCAUAUCCGAAAAAAUAACCAAAAUGCACCGUUGAAAUGUGGCAGAUGCAUUGCAGAGUUCGAACGGCAUACGUCGAAAAGUAAAAAUACCGUAGGGGCAAGUGAAGUGGUCUUCUCUUGAUCAUCCAAAAAUACAGGUAUUUGAUUGUACCCCAAAUAACCAUCUAAGAAAUAAAAAAAAUAUUGACCUGCUAGCCAUUCUAGGAUUUGAUCGAUGAAGGAUAAUGAAAAAUGAUCCUUUCUAGUAACGGCAUUGAGUUUCCUAUAGUCAAUGCACACUCGCCAAUCAGAUGGUGUGCGAGUGGAAAGCAAUUCACCUUCUUCAUUCUCUACCACAAUAAUACCUACUUUUUUAAGUACUACUUGAGUAAAACUGACCCAUUUACUAUCGGAUAUGGGGUAAAUGAUUCCAACAUCUAACCAUUUUACCACAUCUUUCUUCACUACUUCCCGCAUAUUUGGAUUCAAUCUCCUCUGCAUGUUUCGAUGGGGUUUUGUAUCUGCCUCGCNNNNNNNNNNNNNNNNNNNNNNNNNNNNNNNNNNNNNNNNNNNNNNNNNNNNNNNNNNNNNNNNNNNNNNNNNNNNNNNNNNNNNNNNNNNNNNNNNNNNCUUCAGAACACCAACCAAUUGUGCUUCUUGAUCCGAGGUCAAGUCUGAUGCAAUGAUCACCGGAAGGAUGUCAUUAGGUCCUAGAAAUGCAUACUUGAGUGUGGCCUGAAGUGGCUUUAAUUCUAAUGCAGGUGGUGAUUCUAAUGAUGGGACUGUGGGUGUAUUGGCUAAUGCAGGCAAUGGCUCAUACUUGAUUGUCUAAUAAGGAGUAGUUUUAUUACUUGAUGUAUCAACUAAAAUAUUUACUUCUUCACUACCUCCCUCCAUAUCACAGUCGUCCACUCCAAAGUACGUUAAAUGGGUGUCUCGAAAAUCAUGUGCAAAAAUCAUUGAUGUUGCUUCCUCUAUAAUAUCCUCGAAUGUAUCUAUUUCGAAGCAACUAUCCAUUGAUGGUCCCUGAGAUGCACUAAACAUAUUUAAUCUCAGUUUCUUAUUCCCAAAUGAUACGUACAUGACUCAUGUCCUACAAUUGAUGCAUGCAUUUGCCGUAGCUAAGAAGGGUCUACUUAAGAUAAUGAGAAUUUGCCUUGGAUUGCCAUACAGUUCCAUGUCAAAGACUAAAAAAUCAACUGAAAAAUAAAACUCAUCUACCUUGACCAAAACAUCCUCGAUCAUCUCAUGUGGUGUCUUAAUUGAUCUAUCAGCUAUCUGUAGAGUGACCGAUGUGGGUUUCAAUUCUCCAAAUCCAAAAAGUUCAUAAAUUGAGCUAGGUAAAAAGUUCACACUCGCUCCUAGAUUUAGGAGAGCUUGUUUGAUGUGAAGGUCUCCUAUAAUGCAAAAAAUGGUAGGGGUACCUGGAUCUUUAAGCUUUGAAGGGGUAGCGUGCUGGAAUACAGAGCUAGCUUGUUCGGUGAGGCAUACUUUCUUCGGGAGUUAUGAUCGAGAUUUACGUUUCUGAGUGCACAAUUCCUUCAAAAAUUUUGCGUAAGCUGGGACCUGUUUGAUUGCAUCUAGAAGGAAGAAAUUAAUUUGGACUUGCUUAAAUAAUUCCAACAUCUCAUCAAGUCUUCCUCCUUUCUUAUCCACAAGAGUGAGGGCUUUUAGGGCACUCGAAAAUGGAGCUUUAGACAAGUAAGGUGAUUCCGGUGCAGUUAGUCUCUUUUCUACUUUUGUGUCCUCCUUGCUCUUAGGUGAUUUGGGCUUAGUCAGAGGUCUACGAUCGGUCUCAUUGAUUUUACUCGUGUGUUCAAUGACCUUCCCACUUUUGAGAGUCAUAAUUGAUUUGGCAUGUUCAGAAAAGAUAUCUGGAGUAUUGGAGCUCUCAACCAUGAAUUGUCCUCUUGGAUUGCUCUAAAAUUGAUUAUGUAAUUUUUCUCCUUCUCUCCUACUGACUGUGAUUGCUAGUUGAUCUAUUUGGGUCUCUAGCUUAGCAAUGGAUUACAUGUGGGAGUUAAGGAUCUGGAUGUUGACUUCUAAUUAUUCUAGCAUUUUUAAAAUCUUAUCCUCAAAAGUUGAGCUGUGACCAGUGAUAGAUAGUUGAGGAGUAUUUUGAAACUGGUGGUAUGAUCCAUGCCUAUAUGUCGGAUCCUGAUAAUUUGGUCUAAGUACAGCAGGGCCAACCACUGGCUGUGAUCUCCAGGAAAAAUUUGAGUGGUUUCUCCAGUCGGAGUUAUAAAUGUUCGAAUAUGGAUCAUUUCCUGAUCUACGAGCUUGUUGGGCUUGAGCUUGCUGGACCUGCUCAUGCACAAAUUCAGGAAAUUGAGGUGCGAUUGGAUAUUCACUAACAAAAUAAGUCAAGCUUGCACACAAUGCACAAACAUCUUGCACUAGAUUAGGUAGAAUCGAAGAGUGUUCGAUAUUCAGAAGACAGUCAAAUUUUUGGGACAACUCAUCUACCUUACUGUGGAUAUCCAUAAUAUUUCCAAUCCGAUAGAUUCCACCUCUUUUCUAUUGAGACAUGGGUUGUUCUCUAGAAAUGGCAGACAUGUGAUGUAGGGAGUUCUCACUAAGUAUUUUAAAGAGCUGCCAAGCCUCGUCCUCACUCUUUAGUAUGAAUGUCCCACCACACGAUGCAUCGAUCAUUUGUCGGUGUUUCUCCAAUAGACCAUCAUAGAAACACUGAACAAGUUGCCAUUUGGAGACAGCGUGGUGGGGGCAUUUACGAAUAAGAUCUCUUGACAUUUCCUAUAUCUCAUGAAAAAGUUCACCAUCCAAUUGAGAAAAACUAGUGAUGGCUUUUCUAAUUUGAUUCAUUUUCCAAUUGAAAAAUAUUUCUGGAAGAAUUCUCUCUGAAGAUGGUCCCAAGUUGAAAUGAUUAUGGAAUCUAGAGAGUUUAACCAAUGCUUGGCUUUGUCCUUAAGUAAAAAAGGAAACAGUUUCGAUCUGAGGGCAUCAUCGAAAAAGUUUUGGAUUUUUACUGUGGAGCAUAUCUCAAGAAAUUCGUCCAAGUGUUUAUACGGAUCCUCAUUCGUCAGUCCAUAGAAUGAUGGAAGCAUUUGAAUAAUGUUGGACCUGAUUUCGUAUUAUGCCACCUUCACAGGAGGAGGCUGGAUACAUGACAAGUAAGUGUAAGAUGAGGGAGUAAAAUACUCUCUCAAUUGUCAUGGUGGGUCAGUCUCUUGUUUUGGAUUCAUGAUUUUGAUUUGGUUUAUUCGAAUCAUUUUUUCUAGCUCUAGGUCUAAUGGGUGUAAAUCAGAUCGUAAUAAUCGACGUCCUAGCAUGCACCCAAAAGAUCUCAUCGAGUUUUAAUUUCAACAAAUUUUUUUUUUUGAAAGAGAAGAGAGGAGGAGGGAAAAGAAUUCUAAAUAAGAGAACCUAAGGAGUUCUAAUGCUAAGAAGAUAAAGAAGAAUUAAUUAGAUUUGAUAUUUUUAGUCAACAAGCAAGUGGUUCAAUCAAUCCUAUCUAUGGGUUAUCCUAGAUCUAGACAGCUCCUAACUGCCAAGGCCACCUUUAAAUACUCCAAGUAGCAGACUAGCCGUUCAACUGGCUAGAUAAGUGUAAGGUUGGUGGGGGUCCCCCCGUUGCUUUCCUUAAAUACCAACUGUGUUGGCCAAGUUAGCGAACGGAACCAAUUAAUGAACCACCUUCCUUCAGGACGUAAUCCCUGAACCACUUUUCUAGACAUCAGUUAAACUGACUAACCUGAACCCAGUCUAACUUUUAGGGUUCCUUGUCCUACCGAGCUCGAGGAUCCUUAAGGGUCAACGUCUAAUCGAUUUUAAAUUAGAAGUUUAGGUCAAUAUAAUUGCAAGGUGAUGAUUUGUGAGCCAAGAGUGAUGAAAUCCCCACCUUAUGUUGAUUAGAAUUUUGCCCUUAAGAUUUUUUUUUUAUGAAAAUAUGCAAUGCAAAAAGAAAAGAUGUCCAAACAUGUUAAGUGAAUUUUAAAAUUUAAUUAAUUUAUUUAUAUUAAUCAAGUAUUAUGUAUUAUCAUUGUAUUCCUUUUAUAUUAUGUUAUCUUUUAGUAAGAAGAAAUAAAAAAUUUUAAAAUUAGAUUAAUUAGAUAUUAGAAGAUCAAGUGAAUCUAAUUAAAUGAAAAGUAAAUCAUACUAAGAUUAAAAAGCAAGUAGGUAUUCUACAAAUAAAGUAAUAAAUCAAAUUUACUUUUAGGAUAAUAAAUUAUUCUAAGCUAUAGAAAACAGUAAAUCACUAGAAAUAAUAGGCAAUAAUAAAUAAGGUAACUACUUAACUAUGCAAAUAAAGUAAUCCCAUAGUUAAGAAUAAAAGAUAACUACUUAAUCCAAAUAAAAGGCUAAGAAUCUAAUCUAUUUAUGAAAUAAGAAAUCACUAAUUAUAUAAAAUAAUAAAUUAUUCUAAUAUAUAGAAAGCAGUAAAUUGCUAGGUUAUAGGAAGUAGAAAAUAUUUUUAUGCAUGUAAAUAAANNNNNNNNNNNNNNNNNNNNNNNNNNNNNNNNNNNNNNNNNNNNNNNNNNNNNNNNNNNNNNNNNNNNNNNNNNNNNNNNNNNNNNNNNNNNNNNNNNNNNNNNNNNNNNNNNNNNNNNNNNNNNNNNNNNNNNNNNNNNNNNNNNNNNNNNNNNNNNNNNNNNNNNNNNNNNNNNNNNNNNNNNNNNNNNNNNNNNNNNNNNNNNNNNNNNNNNNNNNNNNNNNNNNNNNNNNNNNNNNNNNNNNNNNNNNNNNNNNNNNNNNNNNNNNNNNNNNNNNNNNNNNNNNNNNNNNNNNNNNNNNNNNNNNNNNNNNNNNNNNNNNNNNNNNNNNNNNNNNNNNNNNNNNNNNNNNNNNNNNNNNNNNNNNNNNNNNNNNNNNNNNNNNNNNNNNNNNNNNNNNNNNNNNNAUGAAGAAGAGAAGAGAGAGAGAGAGAAAGAGAGAAGCUUGAAGAGAACUUAGACAUUGGCUUGAUUGAAAAAGAGAGAGGCAUUGGGAUUCUAUUUAUAGAGUGAGGAGGCUAGGGUUUCAUGAAAAGAGAGAUGGGAAUGUGAAUAAGGACCCUUGGAUCUUCAUAUUGAUUCUCCUCCGUUGAUCAAUAAGUCAUAUUCACACUUAGUUUCAUUUAUCUUUUAAUCUGGACCUUUGAUUGGAGAGGUUGCUUCUUGACCCUUGAUCUUUAAGUUGCGUUCACACUGAAAUAAGAGCUGAUUGCUUGGUUCACUCAAAUCUGAACCAAUUUGAGUCUAAUUGAAUCGUAUGAACUCAAACUCCCAAUUACCUGCAAAAUAGACUAGAUAGCAUUAAAUUCUUAAUAAAAUAAUAUUAAUGAUUACAAUAUUUAGUGCCUCUAGCAUCUUAAAUUAAGUAUUCAUCAGCACCUAACCUAAUUGCCCAUGUCUAACCAUUUGUCAAGUAUAGCUCGUUAACUAUGGAUUGGACAAGCUGAUGACAUUGGGUUAACCUGAUCAAAAUAUGACUUAAUUUCUAAAAGCUAAGAACUAUUCUUAGAUUUUUGAGCCAAAAUAUGUAAUUGAUUUCGGUUAAGUGGUUAAUAUCUAGGAUUCAAGCUAGAGGGUUGGAAGCUGAAGAAUUGAUCAUAGAGAGUAAAAAUUUAAUUAGAUGAUUGUACUUGUAAUAAUUUGUUCUAGGGACUUUAAAAACAAACAAAAAGGCUCCCACUAAUUUUUUGAAUCUUUCGCACACAGAUGGAGAAACGAAAAUCCUAACGUGAUAAGUGAUUCUAGUGGGUGCUACGAUCCUAUCGAUGUACGACAUCUCACCUAAUAGUUAUUGAUGACACGUAUAUCAAUGCAUGGAUAACUCUUUAUCCAGAUGCUUCUUCAAGCAUGUUGCAGCGACUUGAUCUCUAAGUCCUGUGGCCUCACCUAACAGUUAUUGGCACAUUUUUUAAUUAAGUCCGACCCACCGUUCGCCAGCGAGUGCAAAGUCGUAAUUGGAUCCCUCAUCUAACAGUUAUUGGGCCCAACUCCAUCUUUACCCCAGAGUAUCUAAUGCCAAUAGAGUGGUUGUGCCUUUCCGAUGCAACCGAACCACAGUAACCAGCCGAAAGUGAUCAAGAUCGAAAAAGGCACCCAUAUCUCGACAACAAUGGAAAACCAAUAGACUUAAUGUUUAGUGAGGAGAUUUGGGUUCAGAUCUCUUCUAAUUAGUCACAUACAUAUGAUGUAAUGACUAAUAUGGUUUGAAUUAGCACAUUUCAUGUCUGACUAAUCUAAUCGGCAUGGGUGAACUCGGAUCAAUAAAUAACCUAAUAUAAAAUAUAAUAUCUCAAAAUGAUCAGGUAAGUGAAGAUAAAUGGGGAUCCCCUGUUGCUUUCUUUAGACACCAAUAAAUUGACCAGAUCAGACAAUGGAACCAAUUAAAGAACCACCAUCUAAUACUUACCUUAAACACCAAAUUGGUUGAUUAGAAUCAAUUAGGUUAACUAUAGACUCAGGCUCGAACCAUUGAGCCAAAUUCGAAUUUGACUUAAUCAAUUCACAUCACAUGUGAAUCAAUUUGACCAACUACAACUAAAUUCAAUUUUGAGCCUCUUUAACCUAAUCCCAACAAACUCUUGAUUAAGUUUGAUCAACUGCUCAAAAUCAGAAAAAAGUUCUAACUUGAUCUAAUCAAUGAUCCUAGUUAUAGUUUAGUCUCUAAACCUAAUUUGUUCAACCCAUACCUGAAGUCCAUAUUUUAUGCAUUGAAAUUUAGAUCUUCAAUUUAUAAUUUUAAAUCUUAUAAUUUUGAAUCUUAAUUCUCAAUUAAGUACAUUAUGUACAUGGAUUUAAGUUUAGAUCUCGAAAUAAUUUUUGAUCUAAACAAUUUAUAUUGUAUCUCAUAUAAUUUUGCUGUUUACAAAAUCAAGUCGAAUCAACCUGAUACACGAAUCAACUUAUCACAGUGAGUCGACACAACACUGAGACCAAUAGAAAUCUAUAGACCUAACCUGCACAAUUGAGUCAGCUCAUCAGCAAAUAAGUUGGCUUACCAGGAUCUCGAGUUAACUCCAACAAAAAUAAGUCAACUCACCAAGCACUCGAGUCGACUCAAUCGAGAAUCAAGUCGACUCCAUAGGCAUACCAGUCAUAGUUUCAUGAUUUCAUGCAAACAGAACCUAAGAUUUUGGAUCUAAAAUUUUGCAGAAAUUAAGUUUAAGAUUGUAUGUCAAAAUAAUAUAUCACAUAUAAUAUUUAACAAUCUAAAACACAUAAAAAUACAUGCAUAAUCUAAUUUAAAUCUAAAAUAUGUAGCACAAAUGAUUUUUCGUUUGUUGUUCAUCUUCAUAGAAAAUAUUACAGUCGGCACCUCUAUACAUCAUAAGAGUGAACCCAUUGAAUGGACAAGAGAAAGACUUAAUCCCUUCAUCUUCCUAUGACCGGAUGGCCAUGAUGAUUAUCCUAAUUUAAUUACUAAGCUACUAAGAGAUUAAUCUAACAUAUCACAUAUGUAAUCAAUUAAAAAUCAAAUCUAAUUAUCUUUCACAUAUCAAAUAUAUGGACAAUAAUUUUGAAUCUACGUAUCUAGAAAAAAAAUUCAACAAUCAUACUAGAUCCAAAUUAAACCAUAAUUAAUAUAUUCAGAUCUAAAACUAAUUUUAAAUCUGAAUAACUCAUGAUUUAUUUCUAAUCUAAAAUACUUUCAGAUCUAAAAUAAUCCUGUAAUCACAUUACAACAUGCAGAAAAUUCAGAUCUAACAUUAAUUGAUGUUCUACAUCAAUCUAGGACAACCGCUCAGCAUAACAGGUUAUGCCAGAACAACCUUAUUUCAGAACAACGUGGAUCAUCAAACUAACCUUCAGAUCUGAUUUUUACAAAUCAGAUUUCAGAUCUGAGGAGUUUUCAUAUUCGUAUCAGAACUUAUGCUCUGAUACUACUGUUAGAAAAUUUUAUGAUUUCGUACGUGUAGCUUAAAAUUUUUUUCUAAACAUUGUGCAGUAAAAGUAAAUAAAUUAAAAUAUUUUUAAUUUAAAAAUACAUACCAGAUCUAAUCUGAAAAUCAUGUGUAGGAUCUUAACACAAACAUGCUAUCUUAAUCUGAAAUCUGAAAAGAAAAUCAAAUGUCAGCAAAACAAAAUAAGAGAUCAGAUCUUUCUACCUUCGGAUCUUGCGGAUAUCCGAAGUUCCGAUCGUAGCCGCACACGCAUCCGACCUCUGUUGGUAUCCACACAAAGAUGCCUGAUCAAAGCAUCGAGAUCACCAGUGUGCUAGUAUCAUGCAGAUCUUGCUUUUCAGCCUUGGAUCUACAUCUCUUCUUCUGGAUCUCAAAAAAGAAGAUCGCUGUGCGAACUCUUUCGCACAGAUCCGACGGGAUCUGAAUCAGAUCACCAAAAAAAUAAGAAGAACCUUUCUUCUUCUCUUCUUCUCUCUCUUUUUUUUUCUUAGAUCUGAUCACCAUCAGAUCUUGGCGUAAGGGAUUGAAGGAAGGAGGAAGAGUUGGGACGUUGAGAGAUUGUGAUGUCCUAAAGAAGCUGUCUGCUUCCUCUCAUGUAAGACCUCACGCCCCAAAAAUUUUUAUCGUACAAAACUAACCACCUCACCUCCCAACCACAUCCUCAUGCCCUAAAAGAUCUUAUUUCUUUUAAUCUUAGCCAUCAAACCAAAAUCAAGGAUUAGAUGGGGUGGAGAUGAUGUUGUGCGGCAAGAAAGAAAUCCCAUAAAAAAAUUAGCGCACGCCAAUUCCUUUCCAAAUUUUUUGUCGCAUAAAAAAUUCCUUAUACGUCAUGUCAGAUAUGAUUUAAUCCUAUUUUGAAUCAAAUUCAAAUAAAAAUAAAAUCUGAAAGAAAGAGAAUCCUAGAUAAGGUGGGGCACCAACUAUUAGCGGCCCCUCCCCUUUCACGCACACAAAACAAAAGGGACGCAUUUUCACGCGCUCCCUCCCCUUCUCAACAUGAAAACUGGAGAGAGAGUCCUAAGAAACUUAGACUCUCUGAGUUAUAAUUCAUCUGGUUUAAAUUGGAUCUCAAUCUGAUUCAAAUCGAGUCCGAAUCGAGUCGAAUUCGGAAGACUGUCAAGUCUGAUCCAAACAAGCUUGAAAUCCAAAUCUGAUUUGAAUAAUUGAACCCAAUUAGUAUUAAAUUAAAUUAAAUCUAGUUAAAUUAAAUCUGAUUUAAAUUAAUUAAAACUUAAUCCAUAAUUUAAUCUGUCUCAAUAAAAUUAUAAUAUUUAUAAUUAAGUCCCUGCGCUAACAAUUAGCAGCUGCCAAAACUGUAACGAUUACAAAUUAACAGUUUCUAAAAUUCAAACUAUCAAUCCAAUUGAUAAUUCGAAUGUGAUCUAAACCAUUGAUCAGAUCAUGUUCUUUUUGGGUGUGACCCCUCAGAUUCUAUUCUGUCUGAUAGUGAAACAUAUCGUGAUCUCCAUCACUAUAUCAUCGAAACUCUUUUUGAUGGACUAGAACGAUUCCAACUCAUCUCAAUAAAGAUUAAACCAUUGAUCAGAUCAUGUUCUUUUUGUGUGUGACCCUUCAGAUUUUAUUCUGUCUGAUAGUGAAACAUAUCGUGAUCUCCAUCACCAUAUCAUCGAAACUCUUUUUGAUGGACUAGAACGAUUCCAACUCAUCUCAAUAAAGAUCAUUGAUCCGAAAAUGAUCCUAGUGAGUUCUCAUGAUCCACUAAUGACGUCUAGCAACAUGUAGUGGCAAUCCAGCAGAACAGAAAAAAUGAACCCUUAGAAGUAGUUAUCGUAUGAUACAAUCCCUCUAUCUUGAGUCCCGACUAGACAGAGGUAAUGGAGAACUCGUCAAACCCUUUCGUCAGUCAUAUGCUAGAUUGGCUCGACUCGAAUUCAUCUGUGAAUUUCAUAAAAAAAUUUUUCCAAUAUUCACUCUUACUCAGACCAGAGAUUUUCUGAACUCAGUCUUCCGAAUCGCAUAGGACUUCUCCUUUUCUACUAAGAUCGAUAGAUUCCAUCUAGGUGCAUCCUACUCUAAACAGCAAAUCUGAACCUACAAUAGCCAACAUACAUAGCAAAGAUCCGAAUAGCUAGGGACCAAGAGAACGUACAGUCAAACUAACUAGUCUCGUUGCGAAUAGCCAACACAUUGCAAGUCAAAAGACCAAUCACAUCACUACAGCAUCAAGAAAAUCACUGACGAAUAAAUAGACAUCUAAGUGGUUUCUCAUAUUGAUCAUGCUCAGUGCAAGUUAUUCUCUAACAAUCACCUGUACUCUCACCUCAGUGUCUCUAUACCGCAGACUCGAGACUCACCUGUCCUAAAAGGAGGUGAUCCGUGCAUCGAUCUUGAAUGGAUUGAUUACUGUCCUCUGUGACAAUCCUUCGAUCAAAAGUAUUUAAAAAUUAACCACUAAUGAUGCAUGUCUCAAAUUCUCAACACCUUAAGAAUAUACGAAAUCAUCUUUGUUAAUUUUUAAGAUAAAUGAUGGACAUAAAAGACAUGAUUGAUUAUAAAGAUUGCCAAUCAAGUACAAAACAUGUCCUGAAGAAAAAUAUGUGUCAAUCAAGAUUGAUUUCUAAAACACGCAUCUAACACUCGCAUCGUCUGACAAACAGCAUAGCGGCUACGGUCAGUGCCAUGUUGGCGAUAGCAACAGGAUGCUGUAGCAGACCGUUGGGGGGAGUUCAGGCUCUCCAGCAAUGACAGCGAUGGGAUCUACUGCUACAAGUGGCAUCUCCAUGCAGUCGCAGGAACCGCAGUAGCGGGAGCGGUGACAGGUCUUGUGCUACCCUCUGGCGAGGGCAAUAGUCCACUGCCCUCUCUCCUAUUUUCUCUAGCAAUCGAGGAUAGGGGCGGCACUCGACUGCCCAUACGGCGUGAAGGGGCAUCACGCAUUAGAGGAAGAAGAAAGGGAUUUUGGAUAUCGAGUUUUAGAUCUUAACAGAUCCAGAUCCGAACCCAUUCUAAUUCAAAUCCCACCCAUUAAGGCAUUUGGGUUUCGGGUUUUGUUCCAUUAAGACUACGGAUCAUACCUGGUUCUAUUUUAAACCUUUUCCAAAUAACCCUCUGAAGAACAAUUUAUUAUAAAUUGGUCUGCAGUUUUCUGACAGUUCUUAUUUUAAGGUAGUUGUUUACAGAAACAACUUUUCUGUCAGGAAUUUAUAGUUAAGUCCUCUACUAUUAAGAUUUUUGAUAAAAUCACUGUAACUUGCUCAUUUUUCAUUCGACUUGAGCGAUUUUUGAACCGUUGAACUCGUAAUGACUUGAGGAAUAUUUUGGUUCAGUUCCUCGUAAUGAUAAAAUAUUUAAAUACCCCUAAAUCUAUUAAAUGGUGUCCCGCUCAAUCCUAAUCUUCUUGUCUACUGACCUCUCUCUCUCUUGUUCUCACUCCACCCCAUCGAAACUCUAAUCCUAAAGACUCUUAAGCUUUAUCAUGUCCACACCCCAUGACCUUUUCCUCACCAUAACCAUUUUCUUCCUGUUGUUGCUGGUUUCGGCUGAGGUUGGAAGGUCAGAAACUGGGCCUUGUGCAGUGGUGCUAGAAUGACCUACAAAACAAAGUCCAGAUCGAAAAUUUUCGCUCUGACGAGGAUCCUCCGAUGCUUAAGUUAGGAAUCAGAGAACAAUGGAAGCAGCAACUGAUUCUUUAAGAGGGGUUACUUACCAGGAUCCUCGAGGCUUUAGUUUUUUAGAGAGGAUAUGACUGAACAACCAUGAGAAUGUGUGGUUCCGAAAUUGUUAGACUGUUGGACGUGCUGUUAGUAGGUAAGAUAUUCUAACCCUUAUUUGCUUCCAUGAGAUAUGGGGAGUUAGUUACAUUCGAACUUAUCUACUCAGAAUGAACAGCUACUGCACAUGCUAGAAAAUUAGCUGUCCGAGAUAAUAGAGGAAGCUCACGUGCCAGAUGGAUCGCACAUCAGAUUAGAUAUAAACAGCUCAACUCCACGUACCUUAGCUCGAUGGUUGGAUCGGCAACCAUGAAGUAGCUUGCUGGCUUGAGGUAUCCAUGAUAACACAAUGAUCUGAGGUAUCCACGAUACCAUCGUAACACUACCUCCUACUUCUGAAUCUGAGAAUCAGAUGAAAAGAGUACCUCUGAAGUCGUACCUCAGAUCUAAGGAUGCGCACUCUCAUGCUUUCAUAUGCAUCUCCAGUGUUUAAAAUUGAUGACGUCAGCUUGAUGGAUAGGGCUUGUUGCGAAUGGUCGUGAUUGAUGGGACCACUCAUAUAACGAUUUUCUCGAGAAUUUAAUUUUUCCAGCAGUGACUCUCUGUCUUCUUCUUCGUCUUUCCUUAAAUCCACUUUUCGAGUACAUUGAGGAGGCAACUACAAUCCCCCUCCGUUUCAGAUUCUCGCUGCGACUUUCAGAGACAAGAUGAAUCUAGAGUUCUUGAGAAAGCUUGAACCGGUAUCGGCCCGGAAGAGGCAGGCCAAAGUUCCAUCCACUGAUCCUCCGAACCCCAUGGGUGGUGAUGUAGAGGUUCCGACCACUGAAUCAACUACCAUAGCUGUGGAAGAUGAAAAUUCUCUUUUGAUUGUCGAGUCUACGGUUUCUCCAUUGGAGGUUGUGAUGAAAACUCCACCAAAUGGGAUUCUGACAAAGAAGACUCCAAUGGAGAAGAUACAAGCGACAGAUACAAACAGUCAUCUUGAAGAAGCUCAGAUGAUGGCAGCGGAGACUGGGGAGCCUUUGGAGCAGGUGGCUCCUAUCAAAUGCCUUCCUUUGAUCAUUUUCCAAGCAAGUCCUUCACGACCAGUACCUUCUACUUUAUCCGCGAUGAAGAAUUUGAAGACCACAAUGGAGUUUCUGAGAGAUUUUCUUUCUCCUAUCGAAAAACAGUAUUUGGACAAACAAAGGGCUCAACAGUAGAUGAUGGAUGUCCUUAGGUCUCUUGCUCAGGUAAGGAGUCUUUGGCUCUUUCCCUUUGAUAUCCUACAGCUUGCUAUAUUUAAUAGCUUUGGUAUAUAGAUUGGGCAUUAUCUAGCCAGCUUCAUCGGCUCCACCUUUGAAGCUUCAGCAUUAGACCUUACGAUGGUGAAGGAAGAAAUAGACUGGCUAAAGUAUCUUUUAGAAUAGGAACAAUCGAUUACCACCGAGUUGACCAAGAAAGUCAACUCUUCUGAGGAUGCCCUUCGAGAAGCCCAAAAAAUGAUCGAUCGUCGAGAUGACAAAUUAAGAAGGACUGAGAAGAAGAUUGAAGACCUCAAGAGGCAAAGAUCUAGGGCUGAGAGAGACUGUUGUCGAGCCCACAAUAAUAUAGAGCGCCUAAGGAGGAUGCUCGAAGGAAAAAGGAAUCGAGACUCUAUCCCUCUCGAGGUUCAUUCUCAAAGGAGCCCCAGCAGAAGCUAAGCUAAAAAGGCCAGAAUCUCAGAUAGAUCGGGCCUUAAAGAGAAAACACCUCAGAGGGAUGAAAGUUCUACCUCCAAGAGGAUUUGGAUGACUUAGGAACCGUCUGCACCUCAGAGUGAACUUCAGGAGGCCCUGACAAAUGUAGAGCACCUGAAGGAGAAGCUAAAUGAGGAGAGAGAAGGCCAGACUUUUCUCUACCACCGACUCUUAGAUCAGGAGCUUCUCACUACGAAUGCUCUCAAAAGGAUAGAUCAAUAGGCGAAAAGAGGAACUGAAAUCAUAAACCAGACUUGCAAGACAUCAUUCUCCAUAGGCUUCGAGAAGUAUAAGAAAAUGGCUCAAGCGCACCUUCCUACUGACCAUGUCGAGCUUCUGCAAGCCAGCUUUCCAGAUGAAAAUCUGAAGGUCGUAAUAGAAGACAGCACAGGAAGGUUCGCAAAAAUAUCCCGAUGCAUUAUUGAGACUAACAAAGUCGAUGCGGCCGUCCAGACAGAAGAAAUUGCUAGCAUUGAGGAGGGCUAUGCUGAAGUGAAUCAUCCUGAUAGCGCUCCAAGGCAAUAAUAUAUUUUUCUUUUGUAAUUUGAACUUUAUAAUCAUUUUGAUGCAAAUGAAUAAAACUCAUUUUUAUUAUUAAUGUUCACUAUGUUUGAAUGGAUGAGUGUAAAUCACAUUCCGAGCUAUAUUGGCCAAAUUUCGAUCUAUACUAGAAAUUUAGUUAUAAUUCAAAUCAUAAGGCAUAAUCUAAACCACAAUCCGAGCCAUAAUUCGAGCUAUAUAACUCAUACCUAUCAUGCAGAUUUUGAAAGGAUAUGGAUUCAAAUUACCUCCACAUGGCAGGUAUUAUCGCACAUCUCUUUAUGUCCCUUCGAAAAUGGCGCAGGAUAAGAUUUGCUUGCCACUGGCAUUAACUGCCAUAUUGGCGGUAGGAGCCAUACCUGAUUAGUAAUUGCCACACGUCAAACAUCCAUUCAAGCUCCGUCGAUUCACGCCUCCGAUAAUUAAUGCUCUGAGAGAGGAUAUCGUUGGGAGAUCUUCUGAGUUUGGAUUUACUUAAACCUUAGACGAGACAGGCUUCUAAGAUUUUCGACCAUCCUUUUCUUUUGCCGUAGGUUCCUCUCCUUUGUCUUUCACUUCAGAGCUUUCUUUUACUGCGAAGGAAAUGGGUUCUAGAGACUCUGACUUCAUCCCACUAGAAUUCUAAUCCGAGCAAACGGAGAGGGAUGUGGUACUGCUCCAUGAGCAGUUUCAGAUCCCUCCGACAUUCUAACUAAAAAUUUCGGAAUCGAACGAUUGAGUCUGCCGACCCUCAUGCCGAAUGAGCCUCCAUGAGGAAUGCUUCUGGGCUGGACUAAAGCUUCCCCUUCAUCCCUUCUUUGUAGCUCGUUUUCAAUAUCUUGAUAUGUCACAAAAUUCGGUAGUCCCAAAUUCAUGAAAGCAUAUUUGCAAUUUUACUGCAGUGUGCAUAUUGACUGGGAUUAAUCCCAGCAUCGUACUUUUUCGUUCUUUCUUCAGCCUCAAGAGGCAUCUUGGAUCAUGUGGGUGGUAAUAUAUGACGCCAUGAAGGAAGAAGAAUGCUCGCCCAUUGAUCUAGGAUGCUUCUUUCACUGUCCACAGCUGGAAAGAGCAUUUUCUCUUUGUCUAUCAGACAUCAGGCGAGGAUUGGGGGCUCAUCGCCCAGGAUAAACCUCAAGAGGCUGCGUUGAAGGAGCCUUCAUUAGAUCAGCGCCUAAGGCAAGAGGCAGAAACCUUGCGCAAUUUUAAGGUCCCGAUGCUGAAAGAGUUCCAAUUGGUACAGACAUUGUUUAAUGCCGGUAUCAGCCAGGCCGGUCUCCAAGGUACGCAUGGGUCACCUGCCCCAAAGCUUUGUGUUUUUUGAUUUUUAUUUUACCUUUAUGCUAACCACUUGAUUGCUUUAGUUACAGAGAUGGACCCAAAUUUGCUGAAGCAACUAGAGCUGAAGACCCAUCGAAAAAGGGCAGCAGAGCCUGUGGAUGGCCGAAGCUAGGGAUGAGCAAAAAAAUUUGAAAAAUCGAUUAACCGAUCCAAAACCGAAAAACCAUUUCAAAAAAUGCGGUUAAUCAAACCAUCGAUUUUGGUUUCGAUUUGGAUUGUUUGAAAAAAUUUCGAUUUCAAUUCGGGUUCGAUUUUUUCUUUAAAAAAAUAAUGAUUAACCAAACCGACUAUUAUAUAUAUAUAACAUAUGAAAAAUAUAAUUCAUAUAUAACAUGUAGUUGAGCUUGCUAUUUUUGUUAAGGAUAAUUGACAGGCCAGGAUUCGAAUUAUAGCUUCACACCUUUAUUUCUUUAUAUUUUUUUUGGUUUAAAAAUCUAAAAAAUUCUUAGCCACACUUCUUUGUUCUUUUUCAUUCUUAACCCUAACUUUUCAUUCUUUCUUUUUUGUUCUUCCCCCACCACCACCGCUCUUCUUCUUUCUCUCCGUCCCUCACUGUCGAACUUCUCCAUCCUUUACAGUGGAGCUUUUGUUCUUUUCUCUGUAGCCACCGCACUUCUUCUUCUUCUCCACUAUCACUUUAAUUAUUUUUUAUUUUUAUUUUUAUUUUUUGACGUCUUUUCUUGAUUGUGUUAUUUUUCAAAAUAAUAUCCGUCAAGAAGAUUGCUCUCUUAUUUGUUUUAUUGAAAUUUGACAAACCUAUGUUUUGUUUUUCAGACGCUCUUCUUCUCUGUCCCUCACCGCCAAAAUCCCGACUGAACUGAUCCAUUUUUAUAUAUAAAUGAAAAAAAUUGAUUAAUCGAUUAAUCAAUUCGUUUAAUAUGGUUAACCGAUGAUCGGUUAACCGUAUCAAAUGGAUUGGUUAUGGUUUAUGAUUUGAAAAAAUCAAUGAGUUCGAUUCCAAUUGAAAAUUUGAGCAAUGGUUUGAUUAAUCGAACGAUGCUCACCCCCAGUCGGAGCACCCACAUCAGGAUUAAAAGUACCCCGUGCCACUGACUUCUAGGUCAGAAGGAUCCGAAUCUCUUUGCGCUGACGACUUCAGAGUUGUAAGGGUUCAAUCCGGCUCAUCUGCAUCGGCUUCUAACAGGGAUCAAAGAAGCCAAAUAGAUCAAGUCUCCGAAGAAGUAAUUCUGAGCCUGCCGACCCCUCAAGUCGUCGACUUCUCCCCAGAAGAGGCACCAACCGAGGUAGCUGGGGCUUCUGAAACCGCACCAACUGAUCUAAAGCUCGAGGCUUCGACCUUAGAGGACUACAAACUGGUGCACGAGCUGUUUACUGGGAUGCUCCUCUCGACUGAUGCAAAUGAGCUACUGAUCGGAUCGCAUGGGGAGGUAAGAAAAGGAGCUGUAGGAUACUUCAUCCAGAUAAAUGGAAGCUCCUACAAUAUUUUAUUUAUUCUAAGCAUACAUUUGUGAUAUUAGUGAUAAGAGACUUUCUCUUUUUAAUAGCUCGCUCAUUAUCUAAACGAGUAUAUAGAGCAUUCUCGCGAGGUUUCGAUGGAGGCGAGAAAGCACAAGACUGAUGUCGAAACACUAAAAGUUACGAAGGAUAAGACUGAGAAGGAGGCUGGAGAGGUCUCCAUGAGGGCCGAUGCUGCCAUAAAGAGGGCUAAAGACGCAAAAGCAGCCCUGAGAUGAGCUAUUAAGGAAAACUCUCGGCUACUAGAUAUCCAAGAAGCACAGGCAACGAGAAUAAAGGAGCUUGAAGCUCUGGUAACAAAGAAUAAAGCUACGAUCGAGACAGCAGAAAAGAAGACAGUAAAGGUGAGAGUGGUGCCGAGGCACGGAUCAAGGAGGCCGCCACAAAGGCUACUGAGGACUUUCAGGCAUCAGAGAAAUACUACGAUGAGAAAAUAGACUUUGCCGCUGACGCUUAUAUCGGUGGGAAGCAAUUGAUUCGGAACAGAGUUACUGCCAAGUAUGCAAAAUUAAAUCUAAAUUUUUUGAAUGAAAUCCGAGAACCCACUACAGCCGAUGCACCCACGACGGACACUCCCGCACCAAAUGCUGCCCCUUAGGCUUUCUGUUUCUUUUCUUUUGUAUUUGGACAUUUUAAGGCCAUUGUAAAAGCUUUAAAGAAAUGAAUGAAAUUUAUUUUUCUUCAUAUCCUCCGCAUUUCAUUUAUGCUCGCAUAUUUUUAUUCAUCAAGCAGAGACUAGCUCCGACCUAAGAAACUUAAAAUUACCCCAAUCAAAAGGAUAUCUAAUCCAAUCCCGAUCUUAAGAAUUUAGAUGAAUCCAUCCUGAUCUACGGGACUCUAAGCUUCACCACAAACUUAGUUCCAAUCGUAGGAAGUUAAGUAGAAAUGUUCCAAACGAAGGAACUUUAAUGAAAAUAGUCCCAAUUAAAGGAACUUCAGCAGUUGGAGUUUCGAUCAAAGGAACUUUGAUUCUGAACUAAGGAACCUCAGCAGUUGAAGUUUCGAUCAAAGAAACUUCAGAUCCGAACAAAGGAACCUCAGCAGCUGGAGUUCUGAUCAAAAAAAUUUUGGUUCCGAAUUAAGAAACCUCAGCAGUUGAAGUUUCGAUCAAAAAAAUUUUGGUUUCGAACAAAGGAACCUCAGCAGUUGGAGUUUCGAUCAACGAAAUUUUAGUUUCGAACUAAAGAACCUCACUAGUUGAAGUUCCGAUCAAAGAAACUUUAGUUCCGAACAAAGGAACCUCAGCAGUUGGAGUUCCAAUCAAAGAAACUUGGAUUUCAAAGAAAAUAACCUCAGCAGUUGGAGUUUCGAUCAAAGAAACUUUGUAGAACUCGUCGGACAGGAAUUUCAGCUUUUCAUACCACUUUUAUAUGCAAACAUGAGUUGAUGAAUCUACAAAUUCAUAUAUAUAAUAAUAUGAUAUCACAACAUUACUGAUAAUACAUACGUAGGUUGGUCGAAUUUCACGAUCUAGGGAGUAGAGUCCCGUCGAGUUGCUUCAGCCAAUAGAUCCCCGGGCAUACCACUUCGUCCACCUGAUAGAGACCUUUUCAGUUGGGUGAUAGCUUCCUUUGCUCAGUGGGCUGCGAAACUUCAGCUCACCACAACACCAGAUCACCAACUCGAAAUUCUUUGGUCUUGAUCCGGAUGUUAUAAUACUUAGCCACCCUCUGACGAUAGGCAGCCAUUCUCAUGACGGUACUGCUUUCUUCGAUCAAGUCAAGAUUAGUCCAGAGCCAUACAAAGUUGGUAUCUUCAUUGUACUCUUCAACUCUGAGAGAUGAGAGCCCAAAUUCUACAGGUAUGACUGCUUCAAUCCCAAAUACAAGAUUGAAAGAAAUCUCACCAAUUGGGAUCCUCUGUGUGGUUCGAUAAGUCAUAACACAUGAUGAAGCUCAUCUAUCCAUGAUCCUUCUGUCCAAUCUAACCUGACCUUUAAGCUCUAUAGGAGAGUUCUAUUGAUCACUUCCAUCUCUCCAUUUGCUUGUAGGUGGCCUACCGAUGUAAAACGAUGUUCUAUUCUAUGACUUUCACAGAAUUCGCAGAGUCGAGCACCACUGAAUUGUCUGUCGUUGUCUGUGAUCAACACUUUGGAAAGACCAUAUCAACAGAUAAUAGAUUUCCAAAUAAAAUUCUUUACUCUUACCUCGAUUAUACAGAUCAAAGGCUCGACUUCAAUCUACUUUGUAAAAUAAUCAAUAGCCAUCAGAAAAAACAUGCGUUGAUCUGACGCUCAAGAAAAAAGAUCAAGAAUGUCUAUUCCCCAUUGAGCAAAUGGCCAAGGAACACUGAUAGGAGUCAAAAGUGCUGCCGGCUGAUGCUGAAUAUUAAAAUUUCUCUAACAUCGAUCGCACUUCCUAAUGAAUCUGUUUGUAUCUUGUUACAUAGUGGACCAAUAGUAGCCCUAUCGAAAAAUCUUUUAUAACAGGGAUCUACCCCCCAAGUGACAAAUAAACCUCCCAUAGCGCAUAAUCAGCUUCAGAUGGAUGCAAGCACUUCAGGACAGGCAAAAAAAAUGACUGCUUGGACAGCUUAUCAUCAUACAAGACAUAGUAAGCGGUCUGCUUCCUUAUCUUUUGGGCCUCCUUGUGAUCAGACGGUAACUCACCUGAUCUUAAAUAUUUGAGCAAAAGAUCAAUCCAGUUGGAUUCCUUAUCAACUUGCUGGACAACAAGAGGCUCUUCAAAGCUCAAGAUCUUUAAUACCUCGAAGUCUCUUUUUCUAAGUCAGCAGGCAAUAAAGUUGCUAAUUUUGACAGUACGUCUGUCCUGACAUUUUCCAUUCUGAGGACCCGUUAAAUAUCAAAACUCAAAAAGGAUAAGAUUAAAUCCUUUACCUUUUGAAAAUAUCUUUUCAUAUUUUUCUCUCGAGCCUCAUAUCCACCCUUGAUUUGUCCAACUACCAAUUAGGAGUUGCCGAAUAUCUUUAGAUUUUGAGCUCUUAUUUCUCUCGCAACUUUUAUGCCAGCAAUCAGAACUUCAUACUCUGCUUCAUUAUUGAUAGUCGAAAAUUUAAAAUGCAGAGCGUACUCUACCACAUCACCUUCAGAAUCGGUUAAGAUAAGUUCAGUCCCUGAUCCUAAUAAAUUUGACAAGCCAUCGAUAUACAGGAUCCAUAACUCCUCAGGAUCAGCUCCGGUAUCUACUUUUUCACUUCUCGAGCUUUUCUCAGCUCUUGAGCUCUCUCCAUUUUUUGAGCCUUUUCCACUCUUUGAGCUCUAUUCGUUCGAAAUGGUUCAUUCAAGGAUAAAGUCCGCUAAUACCUGAGCUUUAAUUGAAGGCCUCGGAUGAUACUGUAAAUCCAACUUUGAGAGUUCUAGAGCCUACUUUGCAAUAUGUCCCGAAGUAUCUGGACGAUGGAGAAUGGCUUUGAUCGGCUGAUCAAUAAGCAACACAACAGUAUGAGCCUGAAAAUAUGACCGAAAUUUUCUCACUAUGAUGACUAGCACAAAAAUCAACUUCUCCAAUUUGGAGAAUCUGAUCUCUGUAUCAUGAAGGACUUUGUUGGUAUAAUAUAUGAAUUUUUGAAUCCAUCCUUCUUCUCAGACAAGGACUGAGCUAAUCAUCACUAGAGAAACAAUGAGAUAUAAUAGUAGCUCCUCACCAAGCUGAGGCUUUGCGAGCAAUAAUGCCAAGCUGCGAUAUUGUUUCAACUCCUCAAAUGCUUUCUGGCAUUUAGUAGUCCACUGAAAGUCUUUUAACUACUUGAGGGUCUGAAAAAAAGAAGACAUCUCUCGACCAAUCUAGAGAUGAAGCAAUUGAGCGAAGCAAUUAUGCCAAUCAAAUGCUGCACCUCUUUAACAGUUAUUGAUGGUGUCAUCUCAAGGACUGCUUUGAUUUUCUUGAGAUUUACCUCGAUGUCUCUUUUUGAGACCAUAAAUCUGAGAAACUUGUUUGAGGUAACUUCGAAGGCACACUUUACUAGGUUUAGCUUCAUCUGAAAUUGGCAGAGAGUGUCAAAAGUUUCUUGGAGGUCAGCAAUAUGAUCUAGAGUAGCUCGGCUCUUGACCAGCAUGUCAUCUACAUAUAUCUCCAUAUUGCGGCCGAUUUGAUCUUUGAAGAUCUUGUUCACCAACUAUUGAUAGAUAACCCCUGUAUUCUUCAAGUCAAAGGACAUCAUCCUGUAACAAAAAAGCCCAUAAUCAAUCAUAGAAACUAUUUUCUCUUCAUCCUCAGGCGCCAUCCAGAUCUGAUUAUAAUCAAAGAAGGCAUCCAUUAAGGUGAGGAGCUCAUGCCCUGAAGUUACAUCCAUCAACUGAUCGAUCUGAGACAAUGGAUAGCUGUCCUUAAAACAGACUUUAUUUAAGUCGACGAAGUCAAUGCACAUGUGCCACUUUUCGUUUGUCUUUUUGACCAAAACGAUGUUCGCCAACCAGUUUGGGUACAUUGCUUCUCUAAUAAAGCUAGCCUUGAUCAACUUAUCCACCUCCUCGACUAUAGCCUUCUAAUGUUCCGAGAUAAAGCUUCGCUUUUUUUGCUUCAUCGAACGACAAGUUGGAUCCACCUUUAGGUAGUGAGAUAUAACUUUCAGAUCUAUACCAAAUAUGUCCGUGGCCGAUCAAGCAAAGAGAUCCGCAUUUUCUUACAAAAGAAUGGUUAACCAAUUUUUUGUUAUCUCAUCAAGGUGUGAGCCGAUCUUCACUGUCUGAUUGGGAUUCUCUUUUCUUAGCGGGACCUUUAAGAGGUCCUCAAAUGGCUGGGCACGUUCCUCGACCAGAUCAUCUUAGGCAUCCAGCCUAUUGAAAGUUUGGAUCGGACCUCUGCUUGGGAUGGCUGACCUUCUGCUCGAAACUUGACAACAAAAUAUUAUCGAGCCAUAGUCUGAUUGCCUCAUAUUUGCCCAACUCUAUUUUUUGUUGAAAACUUCACCAUCAAGUGAUAGCUCGAUACUACGAUCUUUAAAGUCCAUAAACUCGGAUAACCAAAGAUUGCAUUGUAGGCUGAAGGAAGCUUAAUCAUCGAAAAAUCGAUUUGGAUCGUCAUUCGCUGCGGUAGAGUGAACUGUAAUAGGCAGCCUAAUCAUCCCCUCUGGAAUCAUCGAGCCUCCAUAGAAACUCUGAAUUGGGGUAUCAAACCUACUCAAUUGAUCUAGAAUAAAUCUCAUUUGGAAGAAGGCAGAGUAAUACAAAAUAUCGAUCGAGCUUCCAUUAUCAAUAAAUACACGACGUACAUUAUAAUCAGCAAUAUUAGCAAUUACAACCACCGCAUCAUUAUGCAAAGCUUGCACAUCCUCUACGUCUUGCUUGAUAAAUAUAAAGGCAUCCCCGAGUCCAUCCUCAAGCCUCGGUCUCUUCAUCUCUGGAAGCUCCGCUGACCCAAACGACCCUCCAAUUAUCAUGUGAAUUUCUCCUCGUAUAGGUCGAUCUUCUACUACCACCUAUCCUUUUGCUUCUGGUCUCUCCUGCUGUGCCGGUGCUAGAUGCAGCUGAGGCAAAGGGAAUGACUGCUGAGGCAAAAGAGAAGAUCGUCGUGGAGGUACUCUCCCUCGAAUGAAGCGAUUUAACCUCCCCUACCUAGCCUCUCAAUCUCGUCUUAGAGCUGGAGGUAAUCUUCAGUAUCGUGACCGUGGUCACGAUGGUAAAAGCGAUACUUAUUUGGAUCACAGCACUCAGAUUUCGUCCGCAUCCUUGGAGGCUGAGGCAGCUCGGUUCGUACCUCCAUCAAUAUCUCUCCCUAAAAACAUUCAAAGAUGUAUAAUUAGUAUAAUGCCUCGAAGGUGAGGGUUGUCGAUCCCUUCUUUGAGGACUCUGAGAUCGACGAUUCCAAGGGCCUCCAUUUUUUCACCUUUGAAAUGGAGAUUGAAAACACUGAUGGGUUCUCCCCUCUCAUCUUAGAGAGCGUUCCUUAUUCUGUCCUAUCACAACAAAACUGGUAGGGGUCUCUUCUGCAAAAACCUCCUCCGUACGGACAUACUUCUCCGCACAGACAAGCAUAUCGAGAUAAUCAUGAGGAAAAAACUUCAUCAACGAUUUUUUAAGAUCGUUCUUCAAUAGUCCAUCCAUCAUAGCGAAUAUUGCGAUCGAUUGAUUCAGAUCGUGAACCUCCAGGGUUGCCAUAUUAAAAUGGUUAAUAAAGGCACGGAUCGACCCACCUUCCUUCUACUUGAUGGUGUGGAGAUAGUCGGAUCACUUCUGCUAUCGCUGGCUACUAACAAAGUAACUGAUGAAAAAUCGAUACACCUCUUCAAAAGAGUGGAUUGAGGUCAGUUUCAAACUUGAGUACUACUGCCGAGCCGCCCCUUUAAGAGUAAUAAGGAACACUUGAUAGAGGAUGCCAUCUGUCGCUCCUUGAAUGAGCAUCGUCAUCUUGAAAGUAUCCAGAUGAUCGAUAGGAUCAGCAGUCUCAUCGUAGGUCUCAAACUGAGGCACCUUAAAGUACUGAGGAAGUGGCUCCUGCAUUAUCCUCGACACAAAAGAUGGCUCACUGUUGAACCGUUCGUAGGGCUGUACCAAGGAGGUAUUGUUGAGAGCAUUCUCGAUCUUUUUAUUGAGUGCUUGGACCUUCUCUCUAUGGUAAGAUCCCAAAUGGUGCAGGCUUCUGAAUGCCGGAGAAAAUGAUGAUCAGAUGUUGAAUCAUGCCCUGAUCACGGGCUGAAAGAUCGCCGUCUUGCCAGUUGUUGGGCCUUAAGACGGUUCUGGCGGUUUGCCUCCUCUUUGGACUCUACAGAAGCAUCCGCACCUGCUCAGGUUGUGGUGGCAGUUGGGAAGCCGGAUUCGGCUAGGAUGCCGCCAUAGGAGGUGCCGGCGGCACCGUCAAGGGAAGUACUAAUAGCACCACUGAAGGAGGUGCAGGAGCAGUCCGAUCAGACUACAGUACCGUCAGUGGAGGUGUAAGAACAGUUUAGACCGUCUGGACGAUAGUUGUCAGAGUCUGAACCUACUGGAAGAGCAGGUUGAACUGAUCUGCCGUGAUUAGCACUAACUGGGUCGACGGAGGAGUCUCCGUCACCGAUGGCUACACCUGGCUGUCAAUCUGGUUCUCCACCUGAUGGGAGGCGGCGGUGUUGGAGAGACGAGAUGAGACUUGCUUUGGUGGCAUACUGCGAAGAUUACACCCUUCUUUUAUCUACUACUGCUGGUUUCGGCUGAGGUCAAAAGACGAGCAACUAGGUCUUGCACAGUGGUGUUGGGGUGACCUGCAAAAUAGAAUUCGGACUGAAGAUUUUCACUUCAAUGAGGAUCCUCCGAUGCUCAAGUCAGAAAUCAAAAAACAAUGGAAGCAGCAACUGAUUCUCUAAGUGGGGUUACUUAUCUGGAUCUUCAGGGCUUUAAUUAUUUAUAAAGGAUAUGACUAAACAAUCAUGAGAGCAUGUAGUUUUGAGAUUAUCGGGCUGUUGGAUGUGCUGUUAGUGGGUGAGAUAUUCUAGCUCUAAUUUACUCCCACGAGAUGUGAGAAGUUAGUUACGUCCGAAUUUAUCUACUCAGGAUGAACAGCUACUGCACGUACUAAGAAAUUGAUUGUCCAAGAUAAUAGAAAAAGCUCACAUGCCAGAUGGGCCGCAUAUCAGACUGGAUAUAAACAGUUCAGCUCCACAUACUUUAGCUUGAUAGUUGGGUUGGCAAUCACAAAAAUAGCUCGUUGGCCUGAGAUAUCCAUAAUAACACACUGAUCCAAAAUAUCUAAGGUAUAUCUAAGGUACCACUGUAACACUUCCCAAUUUUAGAAUUCACUUAAGUUGCUUUAUAUCUAAAAACAUUGACAGCCAGGUGCUUUUGCACGUGCAUUAUAGUUAAUAAACAAUUAGUGUGCUAAGUUUGAGCCCUGGACUAAGUUGAUAAAAUGUUGCAUGUCCCUAUGAAAGGAAGGCCACUAAGAAGUUCUAUUACAAGCAGCUCCCUAUACCUUUAUUUUAGUAGUAGUUGAACGUUAGGAGGAAACAAGUACCCUCAACUUCCUCUAUGGCCAUAAGGAGGUAAACUAAUCGGCAUUGCUUGCAUGCAUCUUCAAAUUGGAUCUAGUUAAUGACAAUAUGCCCAAACAAGAACCUUAUCUCUUUUGAAUCAAAGAAAUGAUGAACGAUCCAUUCACCUCUGUAUUUUCAAAUGGAGUUUCUUAACACUUUCAUAAAAGAUAAUGUUCUUGUCUGUUAUGAUGGUGGAUGAAUUCCUAGUUGCAAUGCAAGUGGUGUGAACCUUAAUCACUUACUGAUGAGUUCAAGGAGUGUAAAUACUCAAUGAAUCAUUUAGACAUUCCUAACAUCGUUUGGAGUCAAGAUGGCUUCAACAACAACCUCCUCAUGUUCCUACCAUAUGGCUUCAUCAUCCAUUGCAUGUUCAUCCCUCUGAUACUCCAUGUCUUUGACAUCAACAUGACUAGCCAAAUGCGUUCACGGAUUGUAUACUCUAGGUGGACACUUUCUGAUUGUUUUCCAACCAUCCCACAUUUAAGUCUCUUAAAGGCAUUAUUUUAUGACAUAAGGCCUAAAAUUCCAUGUCCUUUACUUACAUCACUAGCAAAAGCUCCCAUGAUGGUUAUAAUUAGCGGUGAGAUAUGGCGGCCUCUAUCAAAAGCAAGAUCAUGACCAACCUGCUGGUUGACACUUAAUCAGCAUUAUCUGUUUCAUGAAAUUGUUAGGUAAACUUCUCAGCCUUCACUGCUUAUUAAUAGCAUCAUCAACAUGGACAAACAUAUGUAAAGCUACGUGACCUGGAUCCAAUCACUCAAUCCCAUGAUGUAAUAUGCACCAGCUUACUCUUCAUUCUGUUCAAGUACAUUCUGGAGAUCAGCAAGCAAAUUUAACCGGGCAUUUCCUCAAGAUUUAUUCACCUGCAUCAGACCAAAGAACUGCUGGAAUAUGAUUACUUAGUCAUCAGUAGAAAUAUUUCUCCUCAGUUUCUUCGUUUUAGGCCAGUUUUCCACUUUGAUUUUGCCUACCUAACCAAACCUUAUAGAAUAUAUUGAACCACAUCGGAGCAGUUUCAUUCAUCUUCACUGUAACUACUAUACUUUCUAAUCAUCUACAAGUUCGUGCACUGAAAACUCAUCUAGAUCCAAACAAACCUGAUAAUCAUCAAUAUUGACUUUAAUCCUGCAGUCCCAAGACUACUCAGAAGCUCUCGCUAAACUAUUCUUUAUCCCUUAACGGUGCUCCUCAUAAGACUCAUGAUCACAAUCAAAUCCAUCAAUAGCAUCAAGGUUUGACCAUAAAUCUAAGACAAUAGCAUCUUGCUGGUCUCCUGCAAGAUGGAUACAGUUAUCGAGCAGAAUGCAAUGAUCAGGGCCUCAUAUCAGCUGUCAGAUUAAGCCACUAUGCAAACAUUCAGUUAGCUGCCUCAACAUAGCCUCCGGUUUAUGUAAACAAUCAUAAGUAUGUUGCUAUGACACCCCUCUAAGCUGUGGAAUAAAAAAGUACCUGGCUGGAUGCCUCGCUCAGCCAUUAAAAUGAUGGAAGCAUAAACUAAUGCCUAAGAUGCUUGAGAUCAUAGAAUUAUACAAUCACUAGAAGCUUCUAAGAUGCAAAAUGUGCAAACUAUACAAAAAUAAUGAAUGAAAUAGGCUAUGACCAAAAUAUGCAGUAACAGCAUGUUAAAAAUACACAAAUUCAACAAAAAUAAAUCAAUAUAACAAUUUACAAUCAAAAUCUCCCAGGCAACAUGAUAAAACAAUCUACAUCAAUAUUGCACUAAGUCCAAAGAUUAACAAGUAAACUCUAGUACUUGAAUUAAAAACUCAAGCCCUUUCUUUUGUCCAAAUUAAACUCUCAGACAACAUGCAAAAUUCUACAAUUUGCACCUAAAUCUAAAAUUAAAUAAAAAAAAUUCUCAAAACCCCUGAACAAUCUGCUUUGAAAACAAAUCUGAUGCUACUUAAGGUGGCCUGUGGAACUUGUGAGGCCUGAUGUGAAUCCCAUCAUGCAAUUUUCAGCAGAAGGUAACUGGACGCAGCAGAUUUCUAAUAUUCGGGACAAUUAUACAUGCACAAUUUAAAUGUUGGCAUCCAGAAACCAACAUGAUCUAACCAAAUAGCAUGAUCACAGCCAGCAAAAGCAGAAUGACUCUAAACAAUAACAGCUAUAUAACAGCCCGAGCAAAAACAAAUCUCAAACAAUUGGUAGCAAGUAGAUGAUCCUAUCAAGAAAAUUUGAAGUCCACACAAAAACCCUAGUUGUAAAUGUUUGGAUUGUAAAAGAAGGAAAUAUCGCAUAGUGGACAAAGAAAGCUAAAAGGAAAGCAGAUGCAAUAACUAAAGAAAGAUCUAACCAAGCCCAUGCUUACAACAAACUCUCAUGCUCACAAGCUCUGUAAAGUAGCCAAGAAGAUAUGGAUAUCACAUGGGAACCAUGCUAUGGAUAAGAACAAAGGAAGAGGUGGGAGGAUGAAUAAGGAACGAGAGAAAAUAUGGAAUGAACAAGGGAAAGAAGAAGAAAAUAGAAUAGAGAUUGAAAUGGUUGAGGUAUAAGAAAAAAAGGAGAAUAGAGAAAGGGAUGGUUGGGUUAUAAGAAUAAAGUGAGAGGAUGUUAUGACUGCAAAACUUGAUGGUUGACCAAGGUGAAGGGUGGUCAUCACAAAUAAUGACUAGGUAGGCUGAUCCUGAUACCAGCCUGAUCUUGAUACUUGCUGCUUUAGGGUUUAUUUUUACUUGAUUAUAAAAUCCUAUGAUCAAUAUUUUUAUUAGGUGCUCUGCAGAAGACUAUGGUGGGCUUGACUUAACCGUAACAUAUGGAUGUAAACUUCAUCCAUAAGAUAAUCUCACCUCCCAAAAAACAAAAAUGAAGGAAACAUGACAAAAAGAUGCUCAUGAAUCAAUGUAGUACUGGCGAUGUCAGCACCACCUAAUGGUGUAUGUGCCUUGGAUAAAAUUGAACUUUAAAUUGGAAAUGUGGAAUCAAUAAUUAGAAGUUCAGAAUAUAAGAGCCCACAUAUAUAAAAAACUAAAACAGAGUAUUUAAAAUGCAGUUUUAGUGUAGGUCUCAACCAAUUUUCAAUGGCAAGAGCCCAUCUUAUUCUCAAAAAAAAAAAAAGAAUAAUAUAUUUCUAUUAUGAUACUGGGUGCAAUACAAAAGAAACCUAAAAGAAACAGUGUAGAUCUAUCUGAAGAAACAUGUAUUAAGUGGAUAUGCACUUUGGGUUGUAUGAUCAUCAGACUUUGAUGAGACUUAACAUAGGAUCUUUCUUUUUUUUGGGUGGGGCGGCCAGAGUGGGGGAUUAAAUUUGAUACAACUGCAUCAAAGGAAGUUUGAGAGGUCAACAAUGAAUGAUAAAGUGACAAAAAAAUGAAUUUAAAUGAUAUCAACAUGCGCAACAAAAUAAAAAUGGAGUCUUCAGUCAGUAGAAAGGUCUCAGAUAUGUCUUGAUGGUUGAGAGAGCAAAAGAAGGGAAGAUAUCAGAGAAGUUUUAUCAGAUAGUAAAAUAAGGAUUUUAGAAGACCUGAAUAAUGCACUGAGGAAAGUCCAAGGAAAAUAUGAUUGAAUAUGAUCGUUAGUUAUAAUUCACAAAAUCAAUAUAAUCAUUACUUGGAUACUUUACUUUUGACCUUAAUGAAAUGGAAUGCUAUACAUGAAAAACUCCAAAACUCCAAGAACCAACAAUAUUUGGUGCCGCAAUUGACACCUCAUCAAAUGAGAAUCCAAAGGAGGCAAACCUGAUUUUUCUUUGAAAACAGUAUAAAAGGUACAUGCUGAAUUCAAGACCUACCUACCUAACAUGAUCCUCACCCUUAAUUUCUGAGUUCAGCACAUUUCCCAUACCUUGCCACCACAUGAAGAUGCAAGCGAAACAAGUAAGGUCCAAGCUUUAGGUUGAACCUGGCAAUGCUAAAAUACAGAAAGUUUUCAAACCCUCAAUUUAGGUGCCUCCAUGUCAUCUCCUAUACUAACAAAUCAAUUAUGCGCUACUAAGCUCUAUAAAUAUUCCAUCUCUAACAAACCCUCAAAAAGCAACCUCCUCUCGCAAAUUUCUAUAGGCUCUGAAAAAUCCAAAACAGUCCUGAGCAAAACUACUCUUCUUUCUCCCUAACAUGCCCAAGUUAUAAUGCUAAAGGCCAGAACCUGUUACUGAUGUUGGAACCUAAAAAGCUACAAAUCUUUCCUGGAUCUAUAUCAGACCAUUUGCUAGCUGGUUCAAAUUCCAUGAGGGCCUGUUUGGCAUCGUUGUUAGUGUCGUUGUUUUGUUUUUUUUUCCUCCACAAAUCUGUGAAAUAUCAAAUGGAGGUUGAUGUUGAAGAUAGCAUUUGCACAAAACUUCUGCCAUUCUUUGUUUUCAUCUUUGCACUUUUCUGAAAGCAAUGUAUCUUUGCUUCCAAAAGAUCUAAAGAUUUUACAAACAAUUUCAGACAACAAAUGGGUUUCAUCCAAAAUGUCGUUCAGUCUACUUCAUUUUACUCCUUAGGUUCUUGAAAACAAAAUUAGGGGAAAAAAAAACCAAAGGGGCCCUGAAUACAACAGAGGGGGGAACAAAAGAAAGCAUGAAUACAACUGUUGGGGUUUUCGAGAUCUCUGUCAUCAAUUAUAUUGUAAGAUAAGAAGGUAUGAAGAGGGGGAGAGGGAUUACCUGGAAAAGUUGGUGGAGAUCGGACGGUGGGAGAGGAACGGGAGGAACCGCCGUCGGAGAGGAGGGAGGGAGGCUUUCGUGGACGCCCCCAUCACCACCGCCAUCGUCGUCGGCGACGUCGCUCAGCAGAUUGCCGAUGCAGAGCAGUGGGCCGCCCACUCCACGCAUCUUUCUUGGUUGCUUUCGGGGUUUGUAUUCUCUUUUCCCGGUGAUGAACGGGCUGCUUUUCCUUUGUCCGGGGAUCUAUAUUGCUCCCCAUCCCAGAACCAGAAGCUCUUAAUAACGCAGUUAUCAGCAAAUAACGGACCCCUCCGAAACUGCUACAAUGAAAAUAACAACCGUUAUUUCCACCACCUUGCUGGACACGCAGCUAUCUAAAUUAUUCUCCAAAAUUAGUUUUCCUAUCAUAUCACUGUGUUCCUUUGUUAUAGUAUUAUUUUAUAAUAAUAUAAUAUUAUUUUAUAAUAAUAUAAUAUAAUUUUAUAAUAAUAUAAUAUUAUUUUAUAAUAGUAUAGUAUUGUUUUGUAAUUGCAAAGACAAUUAGAUUAUUUCAUCUUUAUUUGGGUAGUUAUUUUUAAAUUAUAUUUUAAAUGAAUAGCUAUUUUUAUUUAAAAUAUAAGUGGAUAGCUACUUUUAAGUUUAAAUUCAAGUAAGUUAUUUUUUCUAAUUUUUUCGUUCUAAAAUAUGUGCUAUUAUGUUAAAUAAUUGCUCCACAAAUGAUAUUGUAAUUAGAAGAGUUCAUGAUCAUUUUUAUUACAGAAUAUUAUUUAAUAAAAAAUAUAAUCAUAUUAAAUAUUAUAUAUAUAUAUAUUAAAUAUAUAUUAAAUAUUAUGGUUCAGGAUGGGAUGAAAAUAAUUCAUAAAGUUAUUGAAUGCAUAAGGCAGAUUAUUAGAUAUAUGUCUACAACUUCAUCUCGAAUGCAAGGAUUUAAUAAAAUUGCAUAACAUAUGAGAUUUUCUGUUAAAAAAAAGCUCACUUUAGAUGUUGCUACAAAAUAAAUUCUACUUAUGAAAUAUUGAAUGAUACAAUUAGUUCUGAAAAUAUUUUUAUUAGAUAUGCGACUAAGUAUUUAUAUAUAUAUAUCCCAGCAAUGCUGAAUGGAAAUAGAUUGAUGUGAUUCUUAAAUUUUUAAAAGACUUUCUAUACGCCACUAAAGUAUUUUUUGGUUAAUCUCAUAUCUAAUUUGUAUCUAAAAUAAGUUUGAGGAAUAAAAAUUUUAUUAAUGCAUAAAAGUGUUGAUACUAAUAAUACACUGAAGUCAUUGACAAAUGAGAUGCAAAAUAAAUUCAACAAAUAUUAGUCUCAAUGUGAUAUUUUAUUGUAAUUGCUUUCAUUUUGGAUCCUAGAUCAAAGUUGAUAUUUAUAAAGUUUUUUAUAUCAAAUGGCAUUUGAUGCGGAGGAGAGCAAGAAAAAAAUUGAUGAUAUUUGUACUUAUCUUUAUUAAUUUUAUUAUAAAUAUGUAGAUGCAAUAAGAGUGCAUCCUUUUGUAGAUUCAAGCGAGCUAAUAUCUAAUUUUGAUGGACAAAGUGAUAUAAAUUUAGUUUCUUCUUUUAACUUGAGUAAAAUAAAUUUGGCAUAGAUUUUGUUCAGUUUAAAAGUAAAGUUCUUCGAAAAUAUCAUAGCUAGAUAAUAAUUUAGAUGAUGAUAUACUUUCUGAUUUAAGGAACAAGUAAUUUGAUAUUUUAUUAUGGUAAAAGAGUAAUGCAGUAGUCUAUCAUGUAUUAUCGAGAAUGGCUAGAGAUAUUCUCAUUAUUUCAAUCUCUAGUAUUUUAUCAAAGUUGGUAUUCAGCACUGGUGUUAAAGUUGUGCAUCAACGUCGGAGUUCAUUGAAUCUGUCUACUAUCGAGGCCUUAGUUUAUACCUAGAAUUGGCUUCAUGAAAAAUACACUGAAGGAUAUAAAUAUUUUAAAUUUUUAUAAUAUUUUUUAUUUACUUAUAGUGCUUAUAUUUCAAAGAUUUAUGAUUGAUAUGUUUGUUAACAAUUAUAAGUAACUUUAGUUUUUAAAAUUGAAUGUAGAUGAUAGCAUCUCAGAGCACAAUGAGUAGUAAAGUUGGGACAUGGAUAUAAUAUUAUCUAACCAUCUUUAUAAUUUUUUUAUCUAUAUCAAGUUAUAAAUUUUUAUAUUUAAAUUUUUUCUAAUUAUUUAGUUUAUUUUAAAUAUAGAUUUUUAUGAUAAUGGAUGAAUGAAGAUGAAGGAAAAAAAUUUGCUGGAAUUGAAAAAUAUUUUUUUAGCUAUUCGAUCAUACUUUAUUUUUAUUUACUUUUGGAUAGAUUCAUUGGAUAAUUUUGGAACUUUUUUUUUGUAACUUUUAAUUUAACAGCAUGUUUAUCUAUUGGUAGCUUGAUGAAUUUUAAUGAUACUUUUAUUGAGUUAUCUAUUGGAAUAAAAUUAAUUUUUGAGAAGACAAUGGCGCUUUGGUCAUCAGCAUCAUGAGAGGAGUUGCCUUUGGAUGCCAUCGAUGUGUUUGGUUUCUCUUCCUUGGGAGUAUAAAGAUCCACUGCUUUGGUCGGAGAGAGAAUCCAAUGUUCUUCCUUUGCUAGUAGCUUGUUUCGAAGUUUCUUUCUUUUAGAGUAAUGCUGAUAUUUGCUACAAUUUGAUGUUCCAAAUAUUUUGUAGAAAUAUGGGUCAUUUGAAGCUCUCUACAUUCAUCAAAACUCAGUUGGUUAAACCUACCUAAGGAGUACUUAGGAGAUGUUUGGUAGCAUGUACUCCUGAGAGAAUUAUAUGUAAUCUUAUAACAAGUAAUCAGAUUACACUGUUUGUUUUGUUACUUUUAUAGAUAAUACUACAUUACAUGUAAUACAGCAUUAUCUUAAAAAAAAAUAAUCUGAUUACUUAGGGAGAGGUGGCUAUAUGACUAUAUAUAAUCUUACAAUCCUGCAAUCUUGCAACAAGAUAACUUCAGGACCAAAAUAUCCUCAUCAAAAUAAAUCAAGAUAGAUCAACAUAAAUUAUGCAUAGUCUCAGUUGGUGAAAAUAAAAAAGAAAACAUAAUGGGUGAUGUCACGAAAAAUUAUUGGUCUCAAAAUUAAGUUGUCCCUCUAGAAAAUAGACAAUAAUCAAUAAACAAGGAUGGGGGUACUUUGAAAAAAUUAGCUUAUAUUCCAUAUAAUUUAAAUUGUAUAUCAAAUAUUGUAAUGUAGGAUUCUCUAUAAUUUUACAACAAUAAUACUGUAUAUACUAAACACUGUAAUAUAAAUUUUUUUAUAAUUUUAUCAAGUAAUCAUAUUCCCUCUGCAAUCAUAUUAUCAUAGCAAUAUUUCCUAUGUAAUGUGCCAAAUGCCACCUUAUUAUUUCCUCGAUAGGAAUCUUAGUUUAAAAGUGGGCUCAACAUGAAAUUUUAAUUUUCACAAUAAAUUUGAUGGAGUUUGCUCUCUGUAUGUAUGCAUUGAUAGCUCACUAAUUUGAAAAAAAUUAAGAUGAUUUUUUUGUCAUGCUAUAAUACAGAACAAAUAUACCCACAGCGUUGUGUUUUAGGCAUGUUUUUGAUUCAUUAAAGAUUUAAUUUUUCACAAGAAAGUACUCAUCAUAUUGACUAGUGUUCUUCUAUCUAUAAAACAUUAUUUGAUGAUUAUUAGAAUUGACAUAUGUUUUAGUGAUUGAAUAACCAAGUGUAGUCCCUCCAAACAUGGAUCUUAUAGAUAAAAGGGAUGUGUAACAGUUCUUAGAGUUUGCAUCACCAACAUCAAUUAUUCCUUAAGUGUCCAAGUUUUCACCAAAAACUAUAUUUAUUGCUCAAAUUUACUCCCUGUGAACCAACAUCAUCUCCUAGUUUCAAUGAGAUGGCAUCAAUGAUUUGCGAAAAACAAAGAAGCUAAAAUAAAAAUAUUAUUCAAUUUUCAUUGUUCAUAGAAUCAUAUAUUAAUAAUAUUAUCUUUUUAUUUUUGUAGGUUCAGAUCAGCCUAAUAUUUGAUCCAAAUAAGUAAUUCGAGCCAUUUGAUUGGGUUCGAGCCAGACUUGGGCAUAGGCCGGACCUGGGCAUGAAUUUUUUAAAAAAAAUUGGCCUGAGUCUGGCCCGAAGACCAAAAAAUAUUUUGGAUCAGGCUCAAAUAGAGAUGUGGCCCGGCUUAUUUCCGGCCCUAUUAAUAGGCUUGAACUUGAAAAAGCUCAAAAUUUUUCAGACCAAGGCUAACUUUUAAAAAUAUAUAAUGCAGACCUUAUGGCACACCAUUGGUACCUUCUGCAUAUGAAUCAUGGACGGUUUUGCUUUAUCUAUUUACACCCAACUUUAUGAAUGACCUUGGGCCUCUCCGAUGCCAAUUUCUAUUUAAUUAUUAUUUGCAAGCAGUAAUAUUUAUUGCUUAGCAGCUGCAUUUGAAUAUCUAAGAACUAACCAUGAGUGACAAGAUUUAACUAUUUUUAUUUUUUGGUAAGACAAGAUUUAACUAUUUGAAAUUACCCCCUUGACUAGCUAACAAGUGAAGAAAGUUAUUCCAUGUUUGGUUUAAAAAUUGAGGAAUAAUAAAAAAGCAAUGAUAAAAGUGACUCACAAAGAUAUAAAUCAUCACAGAAUUGGAGGCGGAGGAAGUGUUAGCCUAAUUAACUUCAUUUCACUCUAUCUCAUGAAAUAAAAUUAGACAAGUUAAAUAUCUUUUUCAUCUUUCUACCCAAAAAUAUCCCUAUCAACUACUUUGAGGGUGUGUGCAGGUGGAAUGUCAUGUUGGUGCUAUCUUUGUUAUUUGCAGCUAUUAUCUUAGGGCAAUACCUUGGAGAAGUGCCCUAGAUAAUAUAUCAUAAUGUUUGAGAUUUUGGAAGCUGAUAUUGGUGUAAGAGUAAAAUGAAUAUAUUAUGAAGCGGGAGGCCAUAUAUUACAUUUGAUUUUGGCAAAUAAUUGAAGCUCCAAUUAAUCAUGUGAAAGAGUUUCAAAAUGAGAUGUGAUGAAUUUGUGCUUGAUGUCGGUAAAUAAGUUGAACAAUGAUUUGUGAUGGCAACUUUAUCCAUCAUGUGAUAUUUGGUUGAUUAAAUGGACAACCCCCUUUUUCCAUCAUUCAAGCAGCAACCAAAAACAAUCUAAGAGAAAAUUAAUGUAGGAUUAUUGAACUCGAUGUAGACCACUUUGUCCAUUAUACAUAGGGUUAAAUAGAGUCCGGGAGUAAGAUUCGCAAUAUCAAGAAGCCAAAUUGCGAGCCAAACUUCAGGAGAUUAUAACUUGAUCAUUUGACAUCCAAUUUCGAUGAUUUUUUUAUAAAUUAGAUAGUUUUUUGAGAUCUGCGAUAUGACAUCACCACAUCAAGGAGGCGGUGCCUAUAGUAAUAUGACCAAAAUUUUUUCAUGUUGAUUUCGAUUGGUCAAUCCAAAAUUUUUUUUUUCAGAUAAAAUCUCGAACAAGCAAAGCUUCCUAUCCAAAAAGAAUCUGAUGAAGUAACAAUAAGUAGAGUUUAUGUAAAAGUCGAUAUUUACCUCUUAAAGAGUUUUAACUUUUUCUCGAUUAUUUUUACUAUAUAUAUUUAUUUUAGGUAAAAGAGUCUCAUUAGAACUAAAAAAAGAAUUUGAUCCAAUAUAUGUAAGGAUAGAUAUCAUUAUUAUAAAUAGAGGAUAUAUAUACACUAUUUUUAAUCAAUAAAAAAUAAAAAAGAAAGAAAAGAGACUUAAGUUCUACUUUUGAAAAAUUUGCCUCUUCUUCUGUAUUUUCUUUAUGAGCUUCAAGUUGAGCGGAUCGAAAAAAAUUUUUCCUCUCCCUGAUCGGAUCAUUAAAAGAUUAUUGGAUUUUGUUGAGGAAAUUGUUAAAAAUCAUUGAUUCAACCACUGCCUCAAUUUAUCAAUCUAAUAUGAAAGAUGGUUUAUUGAUUGAGAGGUAGAUUGGGCCCAACUAGUACCAUCAAUCCUAUAGUGUACUGCACCAAUCUUCGAGUAUUGCAUUAAUCUAGAAUAUAUUUAGUUGGUGAGAGUUGAACUCUAGAAUGAGAAUGAAAAUGAAUAACUCCUAUUUCAACCAUUUGAUUGAGAGAGUGUCGUUCCAAAGCUCCCAAAAUUUAGUUCUUACUCUUCUUUAGUAUUCAAAGUCCAUUUCAAUUUUGAUUUUUGUCCUGAACUAAAUGCAUCUAAUGAUAUAGUUAUUUUAAUUCAUAUUCAAAUCAUUCCAAUUUUGACUCCAAUCACAGAAUAAAUAUGCCCCUGAAGGAUUGGGCAAUCAUUUGAUGGAUCACCGUAGCAUUAUUAUAGGGUUCACGUCUACCCACAAAUGAAUCACUUCGGCUAACGAGGAGUAGGAUCCAAUAUUUUUUAACUUGAAGCCUAAAAAACUUGAAAAUAGUUGGGGUUGGUCAAAACCAACCUCUUCCAAACUUACUUGUUCAAAACUAUAGAGAAGAAGCCAUUCCAAUCGCUUGGUUGGGAGAGUGUCAUUUCCAUUUCGAAUUCAGAAAGAAUGAAAAUAUCCUAAUCCUUGAUAGUGUUUGACAGCCAUUUUGGUAUUCUGGGAAUAGAAAUAUCAAUUUCCUAGAAUACCUAUUCACCGUUCCUAUUCGAAUUUUAUAUUUGGUUGGAAAUUUAUGGGAUCCACCAAAAUUAUACAUUGCUAUUCCUUAAACUAGAAUAAGAUGAAAUUAUUUCUCAUCAUUUCUCUAAAAUAAGCUAUUCCAUGGUGAAAUAUGAAAUAGCUUAAAUCAAGUGGAAGGAAAUAAGGUGCAAUUAAUGCACCUUUGUCCCAAAUUGUAAAACCCGUGGGCCCCACUGCCAUUUCAUAGUGUGUUCGGAGGAAUAAGAUAGAAUAAGCCCUUAUUCCACCUUAUUCCCAGCAACCAAACGCUAUCUUAGGUAGGGUUUGGAUGCCUUAAUUCUAGGUGGAAUAAGGAUUUAUUUCACCUUAUUCCCCCAAAUAGGUGAAAAUGGCAUGGUGGGCCAUCCUGGUUUAGCAAUGUCCAUCAACCCUUCUUUAUUCCCAUCUAUCAUGAUUUAGCUAUUCCAUGAUGGAUCAUAGAAUAGCUUAUUCUAGAUACUUAAUGAAUAUUAAUUGCAUCUUAUUCUAAGUAUAUGGAAUAACAGAGCAUUAAUUGCAUUUUAUUUUAGAUGGAAUAACAGAUUUUCAAUCAAACAGAAAUCUAAAAUAACAAAGAUGAAUAGCUAUUCUCUGUAAAUUCGUAUUUCUAUUCCAAAAAUAAGAAAAGGGUAUCUAAAUACUAUCUUAAAAUUUAAUCCCUAUUCUUUUCUAGUAUUCAAGGUCUAUUUUGAUUCUGAUUUUGAUUACAAACUAAACGCAUCUAAAGAUAUAGUCAUUCUAAUUUCUAUCCCAAUUCAUUUCGAUUUUGACUUCAGUCGUCGCUAAACAUGACCCUAAAGGUCUAGACUGUCAUUUGAUGGGUAAUUGUAGCACUUUUAUUGGGUUUACGCCCAACCCCAACUGAAUCACUUUCUUGAAACCUAAAAGCCUUGAGCCCUAUAAACGGUUGGUCAAAACCAACCUGGUUGAUUCAAACUUAUUCAUUCAAAUCGGAGAGGAGAAUUUUAUCAAAAAAAAAAAAAAAAAAACAGGGAGGAGAAGGCGGUUCAUCGGAGAGGUGUAGGUGGCUCACAAGUCUCCUUCAUGAUGGGGUCGACGAACACGGGACGGAUCACUUAUUCCACGAGUAACACGAGCCAAAUUAGAUUUUAUAGCAAGAAAAUUUGAAGCGUUCUUCUAAGCUCACAUUAUAUGUAGGUCCCUCGCGUAAGUGCUUAUACGAUGACAGAAUCGGUCAAGGCUACCCCGCGCGAUCUACACCGUCCAAUUAUUCGGACGACUCCGCGUUCUCUUCAGCCAAUGGGGAAGGAGGCCAUUUUGUUGGGAGAGCAGCCCUAAUUUAACACACGAGUAGACUAACAAUUCUGACACAGCUCAGGACGAGUGCACGAGAGCUUCCACAUUGUGGGGCCCACAAUCGGAGCACGUGAUUUGUGGCCAUUAAGCAUACGCUAACCCUGAUUCGUCAGCUCAUACGUUAGACAUUAAGCUAAUCCAGUAUUUGUUUGUGAGGGAGGGACGAGGCGGAGGCCCCAGGGAGCUUCCAAAGUUUGCUCCGCACAUAACGAUGGUCCGAAAACGCCAUCGCUGAACUGCCACAAUCACAGAAAUGCCAUAGCGCGUUACAUUACUACAAGCAUGGCGCUGGUGUUACCAAUUAUUUUGUGGUAAGGGAGGGGCAUUUUCUUCCUUGUCCUUCUAUUAAUAGCAAUUAGCCCUAGACGCGCGGCAGCUGUCUUGGCUGUCCGUUCAUAACCCACGCGAGAGUGGGGGGAAGAACGCCAUCGCUCCGAGCCCUAACCCCAACUUGCGAGCCUUGUUCCCCUCUUCCAAAAACUCGCCAGUGAUGGAUCUCUCUGAGAAAUCUCGCCAAUCGCUUCUUCCGAAUUUCCUCUACUCCUCGUCGGCCACCAGGAGCCUCGCCCUCGAGAGGGUCGUGAGCCGGAACCCUGGGUCGCCAGCGCCUCCGCCGUCGAAUGGCGGCGCAUCGCAGGGAUCGUUCCUCAUCCAGGCCCCGAGCGAGCCCAGGAAGAUCGCGCUGUACUCGCCGGCGUACUACGCCGCCUGCACCGCCGGCGGGAUCGCCAGCUGUGGGCUCACCCACACGGCCGUCACGCCGCUCGAUCUCGUCAAGUGCAACAUGCAGGUGAGCACGAUCUGUUUUCUUGGGGCCUUUGAUCCGGAUAUUGGAGCUUUGGAUUCCAUUUCUUUGGGAUUCUUAAGGGAUUCUUGUUGGAUUGUAGAUUUCUUGUUAUCGAUCCUCUUUCGUUAGUUCUAGGUUGCAUAUGAAGUUUGUCCCUAUUUUUCUUCGUUUUAACUUUGUGGGUAUGCUUUUAGAAUAGAUGAGCUUGAGAUCUGGCCCUUUGGAUGUCAGGAUCUACAUCCAGAAACUUCUUUUUUCUUAUUUUCUUUCGUUUGACCGAUUGCUGUUCAAUAUGGUGUUGGAAAUAUGUUAUGUCUUUGAUGAUCUGUUCUUGCUUGUGGUUUCUUUAAAAUUUAAAAAAAAAUCUAAAAUGGUAGAUCUGAAACCUGUACCCUUUGGUUAUGGGUUUCUGGAUCUGCACUUAUUGAUUGAUUUAUCCUGAUUGUUGUCUGCUUUGGUUUUGAAUGAAUUUGAAAUUACUUCCUGGAGUUAAAAUUCGAAUCGUGCUGUUGAUUUUUUUGGAAAUUCUUUGCCUUUAUUACAUCUUUUGUUUGUUCCAUUUUGUACGAUAUUUUGCCUGUUAAUACCUACAGUAGUUGGUAAUUUGAACUUUCUUAUUUGUUAGUAGAUGAAUGUUUUGGAAUUGUGUUUUGACAUUGGCUCUCGGACUUGUGGUAUGUGCUAUGAAGCUUUUUCAUUUCUUAAGGUUAUUGGGAAGUUUCUAUUUUUAAUGUGCCUCGUUCGUUUGUCCCAUUUAUGGACAAUAUCACUUGUCGAUCUGUAAGGUUAUUUGGAAUUUGAAAUUUCCUUGACGGGUGGCUGAAAAAUUUCUUUUGUUUGUUAACUAGUAUCACUUUUUAAAAUUGUGUUUUGACGUUUUCUAUUUGGUUUCUGAUAUGUGUAUUUUGAUAUGAAUGUAGUUGCCUAUAUGAAAUAUUGCCUUCCAUCGAUGUAGAUGGAUGAUUUCUUUUCUUUUCUUUUCUUUCUUUUUCUUUUUUCACCUCAUCAUUUCAGUUUAGUGUUUAUAGAUUGAUCCACGUGACAUUGAGUUUUUGUUGGGUUUUUCAGAUUGACCCAUCUAAGUACAAAAGCAUCACAUCAGGAUUUGGUGUGUUGCUUAGAGAGCAGGGGUUGAGAGGUUUCUUCAAGGGCUGGGUGCCAACCUUGCUUGGUUACAGUGCCCAGGGGGCAUGUAAAUUCGGGUUCUAUGAGUUCUUCAAGAAGUACUACUCGGACAUUGCUGGACCUGAGUUUGCUGCCAAGUACAAGACCUUGAUCUACCUUGCUGGGUCUGCUUCGGCAGAAGUGAUUGCUGAUGUUGCUCUCUGCCCCAUGG
rnacentral:lncRNA from 1 species